AGGGGAAGGACCUGGUUCUGUCUUUCAUGUCUUUUAUAGGGGAGGAGCAGCUCUGUGGUAUCAAGGAUAUUGGUCCCAAGUAGCAGAACGUGGAAGUGGUGUUAUGAUAUAGAGUUCCAAAGAAUUGAUAUAGUACGUAGAAACUCCUACUCCGUGUAGUUUAAAUUCUUACUACUAGUAAUUGGUGAUUGUUAUUUACUAGUCAAGUCUGAUUGUUGUUCCUUUCUUACAAUUGUUUAUUAUAAUGUAUUAUGUAAAUACAAAUUUCCAAAUAACUAUUUUAUAUAAAUUGUUGCAAUUGAUAUUUUUACUAGUUACAACAUAUGACAACAAUUGUUGCUAUAGAUCAAUAAAUUAUUGCAAUAGUAUUAGAAAUUGUUGCAAUAGGUAGUCAAAAACCGUUGCAAAAUGUUAAUAAAACCAUUGCAAUAGGUAGUCAAAAAUGUUCCAAUAGAAUAAUAGAUUGUUACAAUAGGCUUUAAAAGUAGUCACAAUAUAUAGGAAAAAAUUAUUGGAAUAGAAUUAUAAAAUUGUUACAAUAGCUUCUAUUCCAACAGUUUAACAUCGUUCCAGUAGAAUCUAUUGCAACAUUUAUUAACUGAAGUUAUAGGUCAAAAGAAGCAUCCUAAUUAAGAGAAAAAGUAAUUUUUGCUAUAGGUUGGUCUAUGGCGACAUUUUCUACCAGCCGUUCCAUCAACAGUUGCGAUAAAUCUAUUGAAAUGUUCAUAUAUAAGACAGUUGUUUAACCAUUGCAAUAGAGCUAUGGCGACGAUUUUUGAACCAUUUCCAUUGGGGUAAUUUCUAACAAUGAUUGUAGUGCUUGGACAUAUAAAUACAUCCAAUCAUAGUUUUUUCUCUACCAAAUUCAACUGCAUCAUGUUCAUUAUCACCACAACAAUCAUCUUUAUCUAAUUCAAAACUAUCCUCAUUAGAACUUGCAAAGUAAGGCUCAUUACCUCCAAGCCUUCCUUCAUAACUUACUCUACCUUUUUCAGUUUUAUCAAAACCUAGAUCUGGUCCUGCUUCACCUACUAGUACCUCUGCAUUGUUAGUUGGUACUCUCUUAUUUUUCUUUGAAUCUUUCUUUUUUCAGCUCUCAACUCCCUAACCUCCUCAUAUAUAUCACUACCAUAAUUCUCUUCAUUAUCAUCUCUAAUUAAUUCUCCUUCUGACUCAAUACUAUUCUAAGUAGAGUAACCAGAACCCUUUACAUCUUCUGAAAAAUCAAAUCCAGCCGGACCAACAUCUAUAUCAUCAACUGCGGCAGUACUAGGUGGAGUAGCUCUAGGUACAACAACACUAGGUGAAAAAGCAAUUGGUGCUGCUAUAUCUAACUGCAGCAGCACUAGAUAUAUUAGUACUAGAUACAGUGACACUAUCGUAGUAGUGAAAAGAAGUGUGAUAUUGAUAGGAGAUAUGGUUGGAAAAGAAGUAAUAGGGUCCUCCAUCUUUAAAUGGUCCUCACCUACCUUAAAGUUAGGCAUAGUAUUAAAAGUUGCACCAAAUUAACCCAUAUCCCUAUGACUAAAAUUUUCUAAUAACAUGGGGCCCACAGUAGGCUCAUCAACUAAAUGGUUGAUAAAUACCUCUAAUUCAUCCCCAUCUUCCAAGGAACACAUCAUGUCUAAAAUAUCUAUAUCAUUAUCAACACCUACCAUAAUGCUAAUGUUAGGUGUUUUAAUACUAAAGGUGCAACUUGUGCUAUAUCCCAAUUUUCUAAUAUAGUCGCUCAACUGAAAAUAGGACAUCUUAUCUUCAUCAACAUCCAAAUAUAUAGUUACUUUUCCACCAUUAUACACUAGUUCCCCACUACUUAAAUCUAACAGCCAACCAUAGUACCAUCUUAGAAUAAUUAAUGUAUACCCAGUUAUGUCUUACCCAAAUGCAAUCAAGAUAAGAGAAUAAGAUUUACUCGACUAGACAUUAUAAAAAUCAAGCAACAUUAUCAAAAAGGAAGCAGUAGAUGAUAUUAUCAAAAAUCAAGAAUUUCUCUAGUUUCAUCCAAAUUAUCAGGCUUAAACAAUGAAUAAGAAACAGAUAAUAUGAAUUUUCUAAUGUAAUAGAUACUCUUUUAACAAUGAAACAACCUAAUACUAAGACACAUAUAAAUGCAACAUCAUGCGACUUAGAUGACAAAGAAAAAAAUUUGAUUUCAUUAUAAUAAUUGUAAUAUGAUAUAGAUUGAACACCUCAGAACGUAAUAGUAAGACACACAUGCUAUUACACACAAUAAAUUACCAAAUUUGUAAGACUAAUAGUAAACAAUACAAAAGACCUAAUUUUGAAUCACCCAAGUUAAAUAAUCAAUGAAAAUAUGUUUAGAGGGGUAAUGGGACUCCCAUAAAUAUUGUGUGUAGUUGGGAUUUCUGCUAAAGGUUGCGGGGGGGGGGGGGGGGGGAAAAGAUUUUUUUUUACAUUCCCAACAAUGAGUUAAAAUUAUCAAAGACCAUAACAAUCAACAACACAAGUUUUACUAUUACAAUGAUCAUAGUGAAUUACAAUCCGAGCAUGUAGUUCUUUUGUGGCCAUCAUUCUUACAUACAAAGCACUUGUUUUUUCUUGAUGAAAAUGAUUCUCUAACUCCACGCUUCUUCUUAUAUCACCUUCUUGGUUUGAUAGUGCUUGGGUCAAUAUAUGGAGGAGGUAUUAAUCUCUCUAAAAUCUCUACAAGAGCAACCUAAGAUUCUUUAGGAGGCACCGGAUUAAUAUUCUUACUAUAUGCCAUUAUAUAUCUUUCCACCAAAUAAUAUGGAGACGAGUACUCAUAAAUUUGAGUUCCAUAUUAUGCACCAUAUUGGGCUCGAAGCGCUUCCAUAGCAUGUGGAUAGUGAAUUUUGUCCAAGUCAAAAACUUUACGUGUACAAGAUUUUAUUUGAAGAUCGACCGUGGUAAUAUCACCAUGUCCGUCGAUACUGAACAUGUAAUCUACUAUUGAUGAGUAAAUAACUUAUUCUCCAAAUUUAUGUUCGUUGAUAUUUAUUUUUUUUCUUCUAGAACAAGUCUAUUUCUUGUGUAUAUGAAAUGCAUACGCCUUUCAUGAAAUAAUUUGUCAUACUUUUUAUUUAUUUCAUCAAAUAGUGCCACAAUGGGAGAUCUAUUUCAACAACAAAUAAUGAAUUCACUGAUUCAACUAUAUUUGACGUUAUAAUAUUGUACCAAUACAAAAAAAAUCAUUUAGUACAACAUCAUACAGUAUUACAAACUUGUAACACAAACAAAACAUUAAAUUUAUAACAAUGUACCUACUUAUCGGACAAAAUGCCUAGCUUCAUCUCUUGAAAUCAGCACAUUCGAGAUGUUGUGCUACCUUAGGUGACAUAUCCCUUAUUUGAUUGAAAUGGUCAAAAAACUCAGAUAACAUAUGCUUUAGCUACUCUACAAAAAAGAAACAGGACCCUUUAAUUGUGAAAGUUGUUUUGAAUUUUUCUCCAAGAUGCCUCAUGCAACAAUCAAAGAGAGCUGAAGUGUAGAAAAUUAAACCUAUCUUUAGAAUACUUGGAUGCCUAUCCAAAAAAAUACACAACUUUUCUAUAUCUUCGACACAGCAACACUUUAGUUCAAAAAAUAUCCAUACGAGACAUCAUAUUCCUUGUUCACAACACAAAAAAUGUCAGGAAAUACGUGACUCUCUGCAUCCUGUGCCACUGCUGAUAGAAAAACUCCGCCAUACUUGCUCCUUAAGAAAGUCCCAUUGAUGAUAUGACUUUUCUCAACUGUUGUAAACUAAGAAUUCAAGCACCAUAUAAAAAAUCUUUUUUCAAGCAAGCAAUAAACAAAGAAGUAGAUAGUUAUAUCUUAUUCUUAAAUGACACUCCCUUGUAAAAAACAAUCUUAUCAUUGUAAUGACCUGAGACUACCCCCUAACCCAUGAACUGGCAUACUAUUAAGCAACUGAAUUAUAACAUAAUAAAUAGCUAUUUUUGAUGUACAGAAAUAUAAUCACACUGAAAAUCUAAAAUAAACACAAUACUAAUAAAGCUUUACAAUCUGAUAAAUCUGAAGAAUGAAACUGGAAUUACAUGAUUGACUCUGACUGACAACAAUGAAGCCUCUACUAUACUAACUAUAGAUAGUUGGGAUAUGCAUUCAACUACCACUAAUAAAUACACAUGGAGAAUAAAUAAAUUAUAAAUAAACUAAAACUGUCUAGAGUUCUCAACUUAGGAGAACUCAUAACCUGCUGGCUGGAAUCUGCAACUGUCUGAUUGUGAUAUGAGGGCUAAGAAUAGUACCUAUAUUAUGAAACAAUGUAUCCACAUAGACAUAUAUGUGGAUCAGUACUUCUGGAAUAUAUCGAGUAUGUAGGGGUGAAUGCAAUAAGUAAAACUUAUUUCAUAUAUAAAAUAUUAAAACAUGCAUGCUAAGUGUAAGUAGACUCACCAAUAGGCUAGAAUAAAUUGAAAGCUAAAAUAUCUUAAAAGAUGAGUAAUAAACCAAAUCUGGUAAGCUGGUGAAUCUCAACACUUAGUUUCUAUAAGACUUUACUUUUAUGAGAUAAGUAGAACUGAAGAUGGGAUAUGAUAAAACGUAGAUUCUAUAUGAAUACUGGGUGUAAAACUAUGUGGUAAAGACUAACCUAAAUCAAGGAUCUGAAUAUAUAAUCACAUUGAGAAUGAAUGCAUAAACAUACUAACUUAUCUGAUUAACUGAAUGAUUAAUAGCUGACUACUAGUCGUGCAAGACUAAACUGUACUUAGUCUGAAUAACUAGAGUGAAACUGUAGAGUAAAAAGCAUAUGAGGUAAGGACUAAAUAAGCAACAUGAGAUAACUGAUCAUGAAUGCGUGUAAACUGUAUUGUCUAAGAAAGCAAGACCAAGUAUAUAACAUAAUUCUAAAAUAGUCUAUAAACUAAAAUACUAAAAUCUAAUAACUGAAUAACUAUAUCUAUACGCUAGGGUCAAGCAACACUAAAACUAAAUUACUGAACUGAUUACUGGAAUGAGAGUGUAACUAAAACUAUAAUUGAGACUGUGGGGGGUAUCAUCUAACCGAUAUGCCCUAACUUGAGCUAAUUAGGGUCGAACCUGUAACCCCAGUUGGAAGGGUGUUAGUAUCGUUCCAUGGGUACUACCACUAGCUGUGUGAAUCCAGUAUACUGAUGUACUAUAUUGUCCUAAAGGACUAAGGGUGUCAAGCCUGAAAUGAUGGGUGACCCCUGCGAGAUAGUCAAGCCUAAACUGAUGAGUGACUUCUCAUAUUCUAUGUUAGCUACAUAGUUCUGGAAUACAAGAACUGCUACUAAGGGAUCUUCCUAACUAACGGGGAAGCCGUCAUCCCUGCAUUCGCUCGAUGUUAAAUCCUACUCCCAACUAAAAGACACUAAAAUACUAGCUAGUGUAUGCAAUGAUAACUGAUAACUGAUAAGCUUAGGUCAUGGUAUUCUAAAAAUAUCAGUGUAUAGGGAUUCUGAGGUAAUUAUUAGGAACUGAAACUGGACUGAGCUAACUUAAUUGGACUCAUAAUUGACCAUAUUACUGAUUGAAUGAUAUUUUUUAUCAUAUAACUAAAAUCAUUCUGUAGAUUCUGAAAAACUAGACAAUAACUAAAUUUUUUGUAUUCAUAACCCCCAGGACUUGAUAUCAAUAGUAAAUAAGAACACAUGAGAGAAUUUGGAACCAUAAUAAGUAUGCAUUAUUUGAAGGACACCAUCACUUGGGUAUUUUAUCAAAUACAUGGUUAUUAAUACUUUAACAUGGGGAAAUUCAUCAAACACAUGGGGAUUAUGAACUUUAACAUGGGAAUAUCUUAAAUAUAGGAGCAUAGCAUGAUUACAUAACUAGAAUCAUGAAUUUAGGAAUUCACAUGAAAUUUGCUUGAAAUAGGACAUGGGUGUUUCAUCAAAACAUGUAAAGUUCAUAGAUUGAAUGUAAGAAUGUCCUAAACAAGGGUGAACAAUAGAAUUAUAAGGUAAAUUUUAUAAGUGGAGGAUUUAUCUUAAAAUUGACUUAACAUUAUAUAGGAAUUUCAUCAAACAUGCGGAAGACAUGAAUUUAAAACAUGAGAAUAUUGAUAAAUAUCAUGAAUUUAGGAUCUAUCAUGGAAUUUACUUUACUAAAGCAUGGGAAAUUCAAAUUCAUAUCAUGGGGAAUUCAAAUCUUACAUGGAAUUACACAUGGGAUGAAUUACAUUUAAAGAUACCAUCAAAACAUGAAAUUUUAUUUUUCUUGAACAUACAAAAUAUCAUAAUCAUAAAAAUUCAUUCUUUACUUUGGAAGAGAAGGGUUUUGGCCUCCAUGGGUGAAAGAAAACCCAUGGAUGAACUCCCACAUAUCUUAUUAUGCUUGAUUUGAUGUAAUAGCUUGACUUCGAACCUUUUGGAGAUGAUUUUGAGAACAUUCUUGAAGUUCUUGGAUUAGGAAUCCUAAAUUCUUGAUCUUUUUAUUGAAGAGAAGACGAUGGAAUUGAUGACUCUUGAGGGAAUUGAUUAAGGUUUGUUCUUGAGGAAAAAAUUAGAGGAUGAGAGCAAAUAAAGCCUGAAUUAAAGCCUUAGAUUGUGUUUUUACGAUCUGGGUUGAGGUGGGAAAAUACUUUAUUUCCCCUCCAUCAUCUAAACCCAAAAUUUGUAACCCAAAUUACCAUUUGAAGGGCCACCACGAAGCGGUGUAAUCGCGGUGGCUUACUACCUCAAAUGAAAAUGCCAUAGCUUUUGACUCGGGUAUUGGAUUAAGGAAAAAUUGAUAUCAUUGGAAAGCUAACUCAAUUAUCUACAAUUUGGUAGGUAUUGAUCUGAAAAAUUCUACAUACAUCAACAGUUAUACACUUUCAAAGUUGGCCCUUAUAGAAUUGAACACCAAACAUUAGACGAAUUAAAGGAUCUUAGUUCAACUUGGCUCUAAGUGAUUUCUAUGAACACUCUUGAACUAAUAAACACUUAACACUCUAAGGAUAACUGUCAAGAAACAUUCAUUCAAAUUAUGGAUCAAUAACAUGACAACUACACCUUUACCGCGACGCAGUGAUUCCCCCCAUAGCUAUACUCACCGCGAUAUGGUGCAAUCGCUGUGAGUCACUGGAAAUUGACAAUUCCCUUUUCACACUCCACUAUGACGUUGUGGACCUCUUGUCACUAUACUCACCCCGAUGUGAUGGAAUUGCGGUGAGCUAUUGGAAUUCUAAUCCAAAAACAAUCCAAGACUAGUAUAAAAAUCUGAAAUCAUUUUGAUAUGCUAUUCCUAACUCCGCUGAUCAUGAAUUAACUCAAGAACCAUUAUCUCAAAGUCCGAAAGGUCAACUUAAAUUCCUUAAAGUUAGAAGGUCUUAAGAAUUGUUAAGUCCUCAACACAUAGCUAAAUUUUUAAGCUUUUAGCCUCUUAUGCAAGCACUAGGAUUUGAACUAAACUAUGAAAAGUAUGUGGUAUUACAAUAUCUCUCCCUUGGGAAUAUUUAUCCUCGAAUGAGACUGGUUAGACUUAGAGUACUGUACCAAGGCAACUGAGAUCAUAUUUUGAACAUGACUAACUUAGAACAUGAUUGCAUAACUGAUUCUGAAGCAUGAUACAUGAACUGAAUAUCAUGAACUGAACUGAUUUCUUAUAUACAUACAUUGACAUAAGAAUGAUUAUAAGGCUGGGAUAUAAACAAGAGAGUCAACUGAUGAGUAACCAUUAGUUCAAGAUGGAUCCUAUUUUGUGAAGGAAAUUGAAAGGUUUAGGGCAUGAAUACUUGGGGUAUUAUAAUACAUCUCCCCCUUGGGAUACUUCGUCCCCCAAAUAAUACUGACUUGUAUGAAAUACUAAGGAAAGAUUGAGAUAAUACAUAGGAAAAUUAUAGACUGAAUCAUGACAAAAUAUCUGGGAUUUAAGACUAAUGUACAAUUCAUGAACUGAGUUGAAUUUACAAAUUACAUGGAUAUGAAUGAAUUACCUCUAGGAAUAGCCAUAUUCAUGAGAGUUUUGAAUAGUAUGACUAGAUGUAAAGAUGCAAAGCCAUAGGAACUUGUCUGUCUGACUGCUAGACUGGAUUGCCAACUAUACAAACUGAAUUAUACUGAAAUUUUAUACUCAACUAUACAUUCCACACCAAGAUGACAUUCAAGCCUAUCUUCAUAACCACACUUGAAAUUGUAGGUAAACCACCACAAAAGAAUCUUUCUUAUUUUCUCUAAAACUUUAUCCUUAAAAGUUUCAUGCACUAGCCCAAGAAAACACAUAUAGAAUUUUAACUAAUUAUAACAUAAGGAGAGGUCACUGAAAGUUAGAACAUAAGGACCUAAAACAUGAAAUAAUAACUUUGAAACUCAACUGAGGCCUGAGGAAUAAAGUAUCAAUGACAUAAAUUUGCCAGAGAGAUCUGAAUUGAGGAUAUACAUGAGAUAAACUAAAUUUCGCUAAUCAUUAUGAGUGUAGCAUGAGUAGCUGGAUCUGAACAUACUAUAAAAAAUAAGAACAUGAGCUGAAUGACCUGAGUUUGGAGUUCAUGAUUUCAUGGAACAUGAUUUAUACUAUUGAGUAAACUAGAACUCCUCAUACUAGAAACUGAAAUCAUACAUCAUUUUUCUAUAAAGUGCAUGUACAUGAUCUGUGAUGAAGGAGAAGACAUGUUAGGAAUGAGUAGAUAACGUGAUGACUAAAAAACUUUGCACUAAUAUAAGAAUAGGUUGGGAAUCAUCCUCCCGCACUGCUUUUCUACACAUACUGGCACUACUAUUAGAAUCUGAUAGCCUGACUUGAUUACUUGUUCUAUCAUCUCCCCCUUAGCUUUAAGCUAUUUUUAUAAGUAUGUGAACCACUUAAUAAACUCUAAAUUGAACUGGAAUCACUUUACUCUAGAGUUUGGGUUUAAUAAUAAACAUGAAUGAUAAACUCAUCCAAACCAUCAUACUUACUCUCGAAUCAACAAACUUAAAUUCUUGCAUAUACUGUUUAAGCCUACUGAUUCACCUUUCGUAUAACUAGCCCCAUGAAUAUAUAAUAUGCUCAAUCUGGAUAACGCUAUCCCAACUCUAUUACUGCUAAACUUCUGGGUUCAUACUUCUAACACUAAAUCACAUACUGAAAAAGGGAUUCUAAUAAGGAAAUCUGAAAGCACAUCUGACUUUGACUUAAUGUAUGAUUCUCAUGAACAUGAAUGGAAUAUUUCAAACUUUAGGACAUAAGAGACUGAUGGGAUACUUUCUAAGCCAACAUGUAAUCCCAUAACAGUUUGUGGGGACUAACCGAGGAAACACUAUUUGUAAGGACUUAAUCUUUGUUGUUUCUGUCGCCUCAAAACUAAGGAAGAGUUAGCAUGAAUAAAUCAAUAUGAGCAUCUACAUAAAUUUCUUAGAUAAUAUUUUUAAUGCAUGAUCUGAGACUUGAAACAAGGGAAAUAUUUUCUAAAUGCCCUGUAGCCUCUCGAAGAAAAGUACAGACGUCUCCGUAGCAUUCUGUAAGACUCUACUAGACAUGGCUUCAUAGACACCCUAGGACACUUGAACUCUGUGCUUUGAUACCAAGUUUGUAAUGACCCAAGACUACCCCUUAGUCGUCACACAGUGCUAGGAACCACAAGUGAUCCCAAGCUAACCCAUGAACUAACAUACUAUUAAGCAACUGAAUUAUAACAUAAUAAAUAGCUAUUUUUUUUGUGCAAAAAUAUAAUCAUGCUAAAAAUCUACAAUAAACACAAUACUAAUAAAGCUUUACAGUCUGAUAAAUUUGAAGAAUGAAACAAGAAUUACAUUGUUAGCUUUGACUGACAUCUAUGAAGUCUCUACUAUACUGACUAUAGAUACUUGGGACAUGCCUCCAACUACCACUAAUCAAUACAUAUGGAGAAUAAAUAAACUAUACAUAAACUGAAACUGUAUGGAGUUCCCGAAGUAGAAGAACUCAUCACCUGCUGGCUGAAAUCUGCAACUGUCUGAUCAUGAUGUGUGGGCAACAAAUAGUACCUACAUUAUGAAACAAUGUAUCCACACAGAUGUAUUUAUAGAUCAGUACUUCUAGAAUGUACUGAGUAUGCAGGGGUGAAUGCAUUAAGUAGAACUGAUUUCAUAUAUAAAAUCUUAAAACACGCAUGCUAAGUGUAAGUAGACUCAACAAUAGGCUAAAAUAAACUGAAAGCUAAAAUAUCUUAAAACAUGAGUAAUAAACCAAAUCUGGUAAGCUAGUGAAUCUCAACACUUAGUUUCUAUAAAAUAUUACUUUUAUGAGAUAAGUAGAACUGAAGCUGGGAUAUGGAUUCUGUAUGAAUAUUUGGUCUAAAACUACAUGGUGAAGAUUGACCUAAAUUGAGGAUCUGAAUAUACAAUCACAUUGAGAGCGAAUGCAUAAACAUACUAACGUAUCUAAUUAACUAAAUAAUUGAUAGCUGAAUACUAGUCAUGUAAGAUUGAAUUGUACUUAGUCUGAAUGACUGGACUAAAAUUGUAGAGUACUAUGCAUAUGAGGUAAGGAUUUACUGAGUAACAUGAGAUAACUAAGCAUGAAUGCAUGUAAACUAUAUUGUCUAAGACUGCAAGACCAAGCAUAUAACAUAAUUCUUAAAUAGUCUAUAAACUAAAAUAUUGAAAUUUGAUAACUGAAUAAUUGAUAUCUAUAUGCUAUGGUCAAGCAACACUGAAUCUGAAUUACUGAACUGAUUACUAGACUGAGACUAUAAGUGAGACUGUGGGAGGUAUCAUCUAAUUGAUAUGCCCUAAUCUAAGCUAAUUGGGGUCUAACCUAUAACCCUAGUUGGAAGAGUGUUAGUACCAUGCCAUGGGUACUACCACUGACUGUGUAGAUCCACUAUACUGAUUAAUGUAUUGUCUCGAAUGAAUAAGGGUACAAGCCUGAAUGGAUGGGUGACCCCUGUGAGAUAGUCAAGCCUAAACUGAUAGGUGACUUCUCAUAUCCUAUGUUGGCUACAUAGUUUCAGAAUACAAGGACUGCUACUAAUGGCUCUGCCUAAAUAAUGGGGAAGCCUUCAUCCCUUUAUUUGCUCGGUGCUAAAUCCUACUCCCAACUGAAAGACACUAAAAUACUAGAUGGUGUAUAAACUGAUACUAAUAAUUGAUUAGCUCAGGUUAUGGUAUUCUGAAAAUAUCAGUGCAUACGGAUUAUGAGGUAAUUAUUAAUAUAUAACUUAUAAUAGAACUGAAACUGGACUGACCUAGCUUAAUUGUACUCACAACUGACCAUAUUACUGAUUGAAUGAUAUUUUCUAUGGUAUAACUUAAAUAAUUCUGUAGAUUCUGGAAACUAGACAACAACUAAAUUUUGGGUAUUCAUAACCCCCAGGACUCGAUAGCAAUAACAAUAUGAACACAUGAGAGCAUUUGGAACCAUAAUAAGUAUGCGUUAUUUUAAGGAACCCAUCACUUGGGUAUUUCAUCAAACACAUGGUUAUUAAUACUUUAACAUAGGGAAAUUCAUCAAACACAUGGGGAUUAUGAAAUUGAACAUGGGAAUAUCUUAAAUAUAGAAGCAUAGCAUGAAUACAUAACUAAAAUCAUGAAUUUAGGAAUUUGCAUGAAAUUUACUUGAAAUAGGACAUGGGUGUUUUAUCAAAACAUGUAAAGUUCAUAGCUUGAAUGUAAGAAUGUCCUAAACAUGGGUGAAUAAUAGAAUUAUAAGGCAAAGUUCAUAACUUGGGGAUUCAUCUUAAAAUUGACUUAACAUGAUAUGGGAAUUUGAUCAAACAUGUGGAAAGGAUGAAUUUAAAACAUGGAAUAUUGCUAAACAUUAUGAAUUUAGGAUCUAUCAUAGAAUUUACUUGACUAAAGUAUUGGAAAUUCACACUCAUAACAUGGGAAUUCAAAUCUUGCAUGGGAUUACACAUGGGAUGAACUACAUUUAAAGAUACCAUGAAAACAUGAAAUUCUAUUUUACUUGAACAUACAAAAUACCAUAAUCAUAAAAAUUCAUUCUUUAAUUUGAAAGAGAAGGUUCUUGGCCUCCAUGGGGGAAAGAAAACCCAUGGAUGAACUCCCACAUACCUUAUUAUGCUUGAUUUGAUGCAGUAGCUUGACUUCGAACCCUUUGGAGAUAAUUUUUAAAUAAUUCUUAAAGUUCUUGGAUUAGGAACCCUAAAUUCUUGAUCUUUUUGUUGAAGAGAAUAAGAUGGAAUUACUGAUUCUUGAGGGAAUUGAUUAGGGUUUGUUCUUCAGGGAAAAAUUGGAGAAUGAGGGAAAAUAAUGUCCCAAUUGAAGCCUUAGAUCUUGUUUUUAUAACCUGGGUUGAGGUUGGAACAGACCCCAUUUCCCCUCCAUCAUUUAAACCAAAAAUUCAUAACCUGGAUUGCCAUUUAAAGGGCCACCGCGAUGCGGUAUAAUCGCGAUGGCUUAUUGCCUCACACGAAAAAUACCAUAACAUUUGACUCGGGUAUUGGAUUAAGGCAAAAUUGGUAUUGUUGGAAAGUUGACUCAAUUAUCUAUAAUUUGGUACUUCUUGAGCUUAAAAAAUCUUCAAACAUCAAAAGUUAUAAACUUUCAAAUUUGACCCUUGUAGAAUCAAACACCAAAUAUUGGACGAAUUAAAGGAUCUUAGAUCAACUUGGAUCUUAGUGAUUUCUAUGAAUAAUCUUGACCUAAUAAGUACUUCACACACUUAGGAUAAAGUUCAUGACACAUAUAUUAAAAUUAUUAAUCCAGAACAUGAUAACUAUACUUUACCGCGAUGCGAUGAUCCCCCGUCGCUAUACUUACCAUGACGCGGUGCAAUUGCAGUGAGUCACUGGAAAUUGACAAUAGCAUAAUCACACUCAUCAUGAUGCGUUGGAACUCUUGGAGAUAUACUCAUCACAAAGUGAUGGAAUCAUGGUGAGCUACUAGAAUUCCAACCCAAAAACAAUCCAAACCUAGUCUAAAAAUCCAAAAUCUUUUUAAAAUGGUAUUCCUAACUCCCCUGAUUAUGAAUUAACUCAAGAACCAUUUUCUCGGAGUGUGGAAAGUCAACUUAAAUUCUUCAAAAUUAGAAGGUCUUAAAAAUGGUUAAUUCCUCAACAUAUAGCUAAAUUUUCAAACUUUUAGCUUAUAUUACAAGCACUAGGAGCUGAACUAAACUAUGAAAAGUAUGGGGUAUUACAGUCAACUUGAUGAUUUCCUGAUUGUGUUGAUUGAGAAGAAUUGCCUACCUCAUUGCUCACAAUAACGAGCAUAGGUUCAUGUCUAGAUCACCUAAUUUUUUAUCAAAUAUGUCUUGUUGUUCUUCUUUUACAUUCAGGUUCUCAUUCUCUCUUAGUUAUUCAACCACGUACACCUUUAACACUAGCCUAGCUGAAUCAUUUAGAUAAGCAUGCAACCAAACUUUAUCAGUUAUCUUGAAACACUACAAGAAAAAGCUUUAUUUAUAACCAACAUAUUGAGACGAGCUGACAAUCUCUUCUCUAAAAGUAUAGCUAUUGAGAAAAAAUUGUAUUAUGAUCCUUAUUUGUGUAUGUUGUUGUGAAGGUACUAAAUAUGGUCCCAAAAAAUAUUAAUAUAUGGUCCCAAAUACUACUAUAUAAUUGAAGGCAUCAACGGGAGAAUUUUUGUUAAAGCGCCAAUUUUUUUUAAUCAAGCGCCAAAUCAAAUUAUUGAACAUUUAAUUAUAUGUUGAAAAUAAAAAACCACUUCCUUUUAUGAAAUUAAGCAAGCCCUAUCUAGUGAUCUAUCGCUCUUUCUUUUCCACCAUUAACUCUGCCUAAUCUUAGCAAUGCUCGCAGCUCUACCCUAAUUUCAAGGAAUUCUAGGUAUGCCUAAAGUUCAAAUUUCAAUCUUUAGGGUUUGUUCAAAAUUCUUUUUUGUGGGUCUUAUAAGCUCUUUCGUUGUUUAUCUUCUUCUCUUCAUUUACAAGUUUGCGGGUGAGCUACUAUUUUAAUUUUUCAACACAUGUGCUUCUACUUUUUUUGGAUUUGUUUGUAUAAUCUUUUGAUCUGAUUUUAUUUUUUAAUGUAUCAUUUGAUUGAAGGCAUGACUUUUAAUUGUAUUUUGUGGUAUAAUUAAAAAUCUUUUGCCUAUCAACUGUUCGACAGAAAUACAAGUUAGAGAGAAAGUACUUGAAUUAACAUUGAGAAAUUCUGAAAAGAGUCGAGAUAUGGUUUUCGUCUUGUGUGAGUUAUAUAGGAUACAACAGACAAAUGUUUAUCUAUGAAAUGAAAGAUCUAAUUUUUUUUGUUAAACACAUUGUUUGAUAAUUUGGCAUAUUUGUUAAGAUUCUGCUGGAGUGAUGGUAAACUUAUUUGUUACUAAUUGCUAUUGUAAUUAACAAAUUCGACAAUAAUAGCAAAUCAACAUAAUUAUACAAUUGGAGUAUGAGGAAUUAACAAACUAAGCAUAUCGAAAAAUACAAACCUCUUAUAGCAAUUGUUAAAUAUAUUGAGGAUAUGAAGGAUUUCCUCCCAGAAAGUAGAACUAAAUACAUGAGUGGAUCACAACUACUAUCGAUUCACAACUAAAUCUUUUUUCUUUAAAAGUUAAUACGGGUUAAGUUAAGAUAUUUGUCCCGUUAAUACAACAUUAUCACAUUGUAGAAAAUAGAAUAUCCCUGCUUAGUGUUGUUUUAACAUCUUGCUAUUCACUCUUUGGUAUUAUUUAAGUCUUUUGUUGUAGUGCAGGCAUUUUGUAAAUAUGGAAUUGCUUGGGUUGUACUUCCUACUUGCUAUGGUGAUUUGCUCAAAAAUGAUUUGAAAAACCAUCAUCUGGAUGUUACUAGCAUAAAUGGUGCAAGAGUAGCCAGACUACGCAAGAUAGAUAUGGAAAGCAUGUGAAUGACUUAGAAAAGAAAUUGGGUGACUCAGAUUUGGAUAAAGUCACCUUAAAGAACUACUUGAAUGCCCAAUACUAUGGAGAAAUUGGUAUUGGUUCACUUCCUCUGAAAUUCAAAAUUAUCUUUGAUACAGGGAGUUCUAACCUUUGUGUUUCACCGUUAAGAUACUAUUUUUCUGUAAGUUAUGCUCUUUAUUAUAUUAAGUUAUUUAACCCUUCACUGGUUUAUCAAAAUUUGUUUCUCACAUUUGAGAUGCUCUCAGAUUUCAUAUUGGUUUCUCUUUAAGUACAAAGCGGCCGAGUCCAGCAUAUAUAGAAUAAAUGGUGAUCAUAGUGUUCCUUUGUACUAAGCAUCUUUGUUUCAUUUAAUGUUUCUUCUGAUUGUGUUUUUCAGUUUUGUAUAAUCAAGGAAACCUUGGGCAAUUUGUUAUGGAACUGAAAGAGUCUCUGGCUAUUUCAAUUAAUGCAAUAUUGAAUUAGUGAUCUUGCAGUCAAAGAUCUGGUGAAUUCUUACUUAACAAGUGGUUUUCCAUAAAGCCUCUGUGGUACAAUUAAUGAAAUAAUAAAGUUAUUGGCUUAUCCCCCACUAUACAGAAGUAUACAAUUUAUUUCCUCAGGAGAAUAGAAUUUUACUAAUUUGUGUGUGCGAUAAUUAUAAAUUCAUCUUUUAGUUGUAUUUAUAUCACAAAUUACUACUUAAUUGGAACAACUUGGAUAAUCUCUUGAUCUUUUUAAAGGUAUGAAAUGCAACUUCACUUGCACCUGGAGAGUGUUCGAAGAUUGAUUUGAGGAGAAAGCCUUUGUUAUAGCCAACAUGAUGGAUCCAAAAGAUAAAGUAAUUCAUAUCGAGACUUCAUCUAUAAAUUAUGUCAAGGUAUAUGUUCUAUUAGUUUCGUAUAACAAUCUAUUUCAUCAAAUUGUAUAGGAUUUAAGAUUUUAUAUAUUUUGUAUCCUAAUUUUGUUUACGUUAGAUGUUUUCAUUUAAAACAUAUCAAACUCUAAUCCUUCCUGCAAGAACAACACAGCCUUACCAGCUCAUUGCUAGCAGAAGCUAACCACUUGAAAAAUGCACUACAAAAUAUUACUUUCGUUGCCUUUUCUAUUCAACAGCCCACCAGUUGCAGAGAUUGUUUCUAUCACCUUUUAAAUUAAUUAAAUUCUGUGUAUUUAUAAACCCCUUAUCAGAGGUGUGCCUACCGAUACCUUUCAAAGUCUUCGACUUGCAAAAAAUGAUAGACACAACACUUGAUUCUUUUUUACCUAAAGGCAUCAUUCUUCAAAGCUACAAUUCAAUUAACUGGAUAUAGAUCAUUAACGUUAUUUCUUAAUUCAACCACCAAGAUUCUUGUUCAUCUUAGGUGAGCUUUGAAUUUGUUACUACUAUUUUGAAAGUUCUUAUUUUUUAGUUGGAGAACACUUAGUUACUUUCUGUAGUAGGAUAGCCAAGACUCAGAUUGACUUUUUGCUGCUUAGGAAGGGGGAUAGAGUAUUGUGUAGAGAUUGUAAGGUAAUCUCGAGUGAGAAUCUUGUGACCCAGCAUAGAUUCCUAGUGAUGGACUUGGUUAUCAAGAAAGGCAAGAUGAGGUGGGGUGGGAAGGGUCGGCCUAGGUUUAGGUGGGGCAACCUAACUCUUUUUAGUGCUUUAGAGAUAGGGGAAAAGUUAGAAGGUAUAGGGGUGUAGGAGUGCAAGAGGGAUGUGGAGAGUAUGUGGGAUAGGGCUGCUAGUUGAAUCAGGGAGUCUGCUAGAGAGGUGUUGCAUGUUUUGAGGGGUGGGUCUGGCCGGUAUCGGGGGGAUUGGUGGUGGAAUAAAGAUGUUAAGAAAAAGGUCGAGAAGAAGAAGGCGGCUUAAGGGAUUUUUUAGUUAGAAUCUUUAAAGGAUCCUUACUUAGAUCGUGAGAACAUGUAGAAAUAUUGUAUUAGUAACUUGCAUCAUCUCUCUACCUCCAAAAGGUAAUGGUAAGGACUGCAUACACUUUACCCUCCCCAUACCUCACUUUGUGGGAUUUCACCAGGUUUGUUGUUGGUGAUAAACACUAUGUCUUUUAAUGGAUAUUCUGAACAUAUGACUAUCUUUCUGAACUUUCAAGAAUGAAACUAAAAAAAUAGGUAAAAGUCAUCUCAACUUUGCUCAAGCAACAAAAAUUUUGGACCAUGAUUCUUUUCAUUGGUAAAUGGUCGAUAAAAAAGAUCAAGAGAGUAUACUAUAUAUUAAGAUGUGAAAUUUGAUACUCUUUUCUGUCAAUGGAGAAGGCUAACAAGGUCCUAGUUAAUUGGGCAGAAGAGGUAUAUCAUGUUGCUUGGUGUGCCCCAACUAUCUUAGAAAGAUACAUUUCAAACUACUCUGAAAGUCAUUGCUAAUAAUCUUUUUUUUUUAGCAUUGCAUUCUGGUUUUCAGGCUCCAAACACCUUGUCCCUUAACUACAGUUCUUUGUCAAACACAUCUGACAAUUUUGGUAAGGUACAUUGCUGUUAUAUUGUUUCAGCUGCUAAAUAAUGCAUCUUUAUAUGCUUAAUCUGCUAAUGAUUUCUUCUAAUUGGAACUCUACUUUGACAGGAAUUGCUAAUGCAAUAUGACCUCUAGAUUUGCACCUAUGUCAGACACCUGCACCGAGUCUGAGCAACUUAAGUUCUUACCAUGUUAAUACAGUUUUUGUCAAGUUUAUAUGCUAUGGUCUCAAAGUUAAGUUCGCCUUGUAUCUCUACUCUUUAGUUACAUAUUUCAGAAAAGCAUUUUCUAUUUCCAUAUUUUUUCUAGUCACAUGAUGGUCUUGUAGUUUAAAGUUUUUUUUAUUGAGUAGGCAUGUUCAAUCCAUGUAUUUGUUUGUGAAAUCUUUUCUUAAUCGAUCAUUGAAGUGGAUUAUCAAACUAUUACAUUUCUCAAAUUUUUAAAGUUAUUAAUGGAGAUUGGGCUAUUUGUUUGAUGCCUCAAAAUACCAUUUUGUGUUAUAGAAAGUCAUGAAGCACAGAGAUGCUGCAUAAAUAGCAGCCAUUGAGGCUAUGUAGGUUGCUUUGGAUACUGAAAGCUUACUCAUAUGAGAGUUUAGAGUCGUUGUGAGUUUCACUGUCCGUCUUUAUUUUGAUUUGAAUCUGCUGGACUUUAAUACAAAGCUUUCUGACUUUUGGCUUGCAAAAGUUGAUCCAAUCAGAGAUCCGUCCUAUGCUUUACCAUCCGUCUUGGGGUUUUGUAUGUGUAUUAUAUUGGUGCUUCAGAACUUAUUCGGGUACUUGCGCAACCAAUUUUUCUUUCUUAAGAGAUACUGCUGCAAUGUUUUGGUCAUUGCUACCUCACUCAUUUCCCCACUCUUAGACCUUACUAUUUUGAGAGAUCCUAACUCAUUUCCCCACUCUUAUUAUCACUUCCCCACACCUCUCUUAAAGUUUAAUUGAAUGUAUAGGAUUAUUUGGCGUGUCCUUGUCCUUAGAAUUUGUUUAAGUACUCUUUUUUAUUGACAUUUUUAUCAUGCUUAUCAUUUUUUUGCAGUAAUCAAGAAAUUAUGCAACUGCCCAGCAAAAGAGCAAUUUUGAAGGUUAGUAAUUGUGUGAGGUUGUGGUUUCUUUAUGCAUGUGAUAUUUAUUUUUGUGGGAGAUUGUGGUUUCUUUCUACGUUGAUAUUUAUUUUCGUAUGAUACUGAAGGUUUCUUUGUGUGUAUGAUGUUUAUUAUGUUUAUAUCGAGGAGAGGUCCUCUUUAUAGUGAUGAUUUGUUCUAAAGUACUAAACUAGAUCAUUUCAUUUGCUAAUUACUUGUGAAAACUUCCUCAAUUACAGGUUUUGAUGUUUUGAAGAUACAAUUUUUGAAGAUUUCAUGCUAGCUAUUCAAAGUUGAUUAUCGUCAUUGCUAAGACUUUACAAUACAAGCUAGGAAUGUUAAAUUUAGGAUUAUGUAACCAGUUCUAUGAUAUUUAUAUCAUUUCUUGAAGAUAAUUGAAGUGUAAAUACAUUUGUUUGUAAUAUAUCCAAAAGUUUUCUUUAUAUAUUUUUAUAUGCAUCUCGUUCUCUAUAUUGUAUUUAAUAAUAAUUUCAAGAAACUGGACAAAGAAAAUUAUAUAUUUAGUUAGAGAUCAUAAUUCAUGGUCUAUAAAACAUAGUUCAGGGAUCAUGUAUUUCUUAGGACGAGCAGAUAAUGGUCGCUAAAGGUCUAUAGGGACCAAAAGAACAUACGUGUAAUAUUUAAUUAAGGACUAGAAAAUUGGUCACCAAAACAUUUUUAGGGAUCGGAUUUGUGCUGGUCGCUAAAAAUCUUUAUGGACCAGUAAAAAAAGAUCGUCACUAUUAACUUUUAGCGACGAAGCCUAUAAGGACGGGCGGCGACCGGAUUUUUCUGGUCGCUAUUGACUUUUAAGGACCAGAAAUAGGCUUUUAGGGACCAGAUUUCCCUUCAUUAAUAGCCAUUUUUCUUGUAGUGUUUGGUACUACCCUCUGAUUUUCAAAAGAGCUAUGCAUGUAGCGAUGAUGAGUUCUUCUAGUUGACAAUUCAGUCCAUAAUAGCUGAUGAUUAAGUUCAAUAAAUCAUCACUUUGGACUGUCAUAGCUAUCGUCGCUAGCAUUUCACCCUCAUUCCAAUGCCAAACAUAUCAAUUUCUCCUCUCAAUCUACUCACCAUGACAAUCCACUCCUAUUGUUAUUGAUCUCUCCAUUAGUGGUACAUAAAUAAAGACAUUUGUUAAAAAAAUUAAUAAUAACAUGAUAAUUAAACUAAUAGUGAUUGUAUAGUACUAUAACAUGAACCCCAACAAAUAAGUAAUCUGUUGCAAUAAUUGAAUAAUAUGUUGCAAUAAGAGAGUGAUCUAUUGCAACAGAUGACUUACUUGUUGGAAUUCAUAUUACGGUACUAUAGAACAUUAAGUUGAUUCCAACAGAUGAGUCAUCUAUUGGAAUACGUGACUCAUUUGUUACAAUAGAUUAUCCAUCUGUUGUAAUAGAUGACUCACCUGUUGGGAUAGAUGUUACAGUGCUACAGAACCUUUAAACCUAAUUCCAAUAGAUAAGUGACCUGUUGCAAUAGAUCACUAACUUUUUACAAUAGAUGACUCACCUAUUGUAACAGAUGACUCAUCUAUUGGAAUCAACUUCACUUUCUAUAGUUUUGUAGCAUUAAUACUAAUAGGUGAGUCAUCUAUUGCAAUAGAUAACUCACCCGUUACAACAAAUGACUCAUCUGUUGGAAGCAACUUUAGGUUUUGUUGCAACAAGUGAGUAAUCCAUUUCAAUAGAUGACUCCUCUGUUACAAAAAAUAACUUUUUUGUUGUAAUAAAUGAACUAUCUAUUCAAUUCAUGUUUACAACACUAUAGAAUCAUAAACAUAAAUCCAACAUAUGAGUCUUUCGUUGCAACAAAUAACUUAUCUGUUGGAUUGAUGUUCGAGCUCCAUCCAUUGUUGAAAAAACAAUAAUAGAAGUGUACCCAACUGAGAAAUUAAAUUAAAAAUCAUAAUUUUACUUAACAAAGUCACAUAUGAAGCAAUGCCAAAAUGACAUAUGGAACAAAAUUUGACCUAAAAAAUUGGUUAAGUAACAGCAGUAGUGGUAACAACAAAUACAAUGGUCAACACGAAGAAGAUGAUGAUAAUAAAACAUAAGAUAAUGAAUAACGUAGUAGUAAUAAUGAACAAAAAACAUUGUGAAGAGGGAGAAGACAAUAAUAAAUGAGAAGAGAGAGAAACAUACAUUUUUUACCUCUGUUUCUAGUUAUGUUACGUUUUACACUAAAUCAAACUGUAAAUAAAAACUUGUUGUCUAUUCUCUAACUUCCCCUACUUUCUUAAUCCAUAAUAAUGUAAUUGUUGUUAAAAUUAAUCUAAAAGAGUAAUAAUAUGAAAGAAGAAGAAGAUAUAAGAAGACAAGACAAAAGAUUAGAGUUUUUCAUUCUUCCAAAUAUCUUAUGUACAAGUCUUUCAAGUGUAUACAAUAUGAAACCUUAUGCCUCUAUUUAUAUGUCAUAUAGAGGCAUGCAAAGGGUUGUCAUAAUCAUGGUAUUAAAUAAGAAUAUUAUGGGGGAGGUUAAGGGUGUGAGAGUUACACCCAUAAUAGUGUGUGGAGUACUGGAGGAUUAACUACACAUUAUGGAGAAGAUGGAUGGGAGUGACUUAAUUCCUAAGAGUUAUGGGCAUCCACCAUGAAUAUAUUAUUUUAUGACAUUCCUCCUUGGAUGUCCAUAGAUGAUGUGUAUCAUUAAAACCUUACUAGGAAAAAAAACCUAUGGGAAAAAAUCUGUAGUGAAGGAAAAAGAGAUCACAUAUCUUAUAAUACACAUUUGUUUGCUGCCUCGUUAAAAACCUUGCCAAGAAAACCCAUUGGGACAAAAUCUAGACCAAAGAAAAAGAGUCCAGUACGUAUUUUGCUCCCCUAAUGCAAACGUCAUUUCACUUCUCAAAGACUCCGCCUUCAAUCUUAUAUGUGAGCUUUAAAAUGUUGAUUUUCAUUAUGCCUUUGUGAUCAAAACACAUUCAUGAAGAUGUUGCAUUCUUGAACUCAUCCUGAUAUAUCAUUUUCUUGCUUCUUAGAUAUGUUAAACCUAUGAACUCAGCCAAAUAAAUUCUUGACAAUUACUUUAUUUGUAACCUCAUCGUCGUAAGUCAUUUUCACAUUGAACUUGUUCAUAGCAGCGGCCAACUGGUUGUGAACUUUUUCAUUUUAAAUUGACUGCAGAACAAAUAUUCUUCCUACAUUUGCAUAAUCAACAAUAUUUUGGCAAUAUUUAUUAGAAAUAAUAAAUUUAUAUCAAUAAUAUUUGAUUUUAAUCACAUUCACAUAAAAGUAAAAUUAUAUCUUUCUACAAACUAAUAAAAAUUAUUAUCUCAUGUAUAGAAUAGUAGGAUACAUAAGUGCAAUAAUUGCACUAAUACAUGGUAUUUUCUAACUAUUUCAUGAGAUAAAAAUUGAUCUUUCUUUAUGAUAAGUGAUUAUGCAACCAUUGAGAUAUUCAAUGGAUUGAAUCUCUUUUAAAUCCUUUAAGAAUUUUCCUAUAACAUUUUCAUCUAGCUAGACAUGAUAGUCAUUCCUUAUAUGUGUUCAAGAUUUUCAUACAUUGCCAGAUUUAAAGAAACCUUAUUGCAUCCACUAUAGGAGAACACAUCUCCAAACAAUUAUGUCAGUACUUUGCGAAUAAUCUUUAUGCCUCAAGGCACAAGUAGCAUUUUAUAUCUUACGAUUUUACUUUUCGCACAAUCACUUAUUUGUAUCCCACUAACAUUAUACCUCAGUCUAUGGACUAAUUUCAAAUUAUCACUUUUCAAGUGAAAUAUAAUAAACUUGAAUUGCGUACUUUAUCUAUCCAUACUAUUCGAUAGAUUUAAAUUCAAGAUUCUCAUUACCAUUUAUAAUGGUGAGCUCUAUGUUAUACCAAAAUACCAUUGAUGGUUAUUUGAUAUCGAUUCCAUUACGACCUAACAUAUCAAGAUAGAUCUCUUAUUUUUCACCAUUUUCAGGUACCUGAACUUUUCCAAGAUUUUAUGAAGAGUUAUGUCAUAGUGAUUUUAAAGCACUUGCCUCAUUAUCAUUGACCAUAUUUAUCAUUUUCUCCCUCCUUAUUCAAGGAAUUCUAUGUUUUGAACCGAUUUGUCAGUCAUGCUUCAGGCGUGCCAUAGACUCUGUCCUUCAAGGACUUUUCAUUGGAGCAUUUAUAGCUGAUUUAUAAUAUAGGUACAAUCUGGAAAUGAACUUUCAACAUUUUGCAAAUCCUGAAUUAGCAAUUGAACUUCAAGUUCACUAUUUUUUACGAGGAUCUUGAUAAUUCAUUCCAUACAUUUCAACUAUUAAUCAUAUCUCCCCCUAAUGUUAGGAAAUCUAACAUUCACCGAAUCUUAUUUGGGGAUCCAUCUUUGUGUGUGGUGGAUAUUUCACAUUCAAGUUAUUUAGAUGGAUUUUAAUAGGUUCUUGACCUUGAACCAAUAAUACAGGGGAACCUUGUUGGCUUGAUGCAUACAAAUGUUGCUACAUUUAAAUAAAAUCAUCUUAUACCAAAUUUUCUUUUAGGGAGAUUUGUUCUCAUAAUUAAUGAUUAAGCUAUAAUUGGAGGUACACAAUUUUCUGCUAAACUAAUCAAUAUAUCAACUUGUAUAGUUUGGAACCAUGAUCUCAAUUUUAACAAUUUGAACAAACAACCUUGCAAAAAUCAAAUUGCAAGUUGAUAUUAGCGCAUAUGACCGACCAUAAAUGCAUCUCACUUAAUAGUAAAUAGUCUACAUGAUAGGGGAAUGGGCCCAUAUUCACCUUGUUGCAUGUUCCAAAAAUUUAAAAGACACAAUCGUAACUUUAGCUGGUAUGAUAUUGUAUCAUGAGAACAAGAAACAUAAGAGAAUUCUUGAAGAACAUUUUAUUUCUUCAAUAUAAAACCGCAUGAAUUCUCAAUUAUUUUCGCAUCACAUUUGAAUUAGGAUGGUCAACCGUUCAUGCCAACUUAUUUGUAAACUUUUAGUUUACUACAGCAUGUGAUUCCGUCACAGUGCCCAUAUAUUUAUAUCAGUAAAUAGGUGAAAAACGGGUAGCCUUUUUCAUAAAUAUUUAUAACCUAUUACGAUUGUAGAAAUAUGAAGAUACAAAUUUUUUUCAUAAUUUACAAUCUCAAUAUAAUAAUAAUAAUUUUUUUCUCAAUUCCCUUGAAACUUAAAAAGUUUAUUUUGGAGACUUACUACAAUUUCAAUGACCUAAAUAAUUUCCAUUCCUUCUAGUAGUAACACUUUAGUUUUUCGAGGGUAUCAAAUACUUGUGCACUACUUCAUAUUCCAAAUCACCAUUCAUAUCGUGACCAUCUCCUUUUCGAAAGAAAAUUUUAGUCAUUGUAGUCAAAAUUAUUAUAUGCAAGACCUCCUUCUUGCUUUACUUUUGCCUUUAAUAAUUUAUUUCCAUAACAUUUGGCAAAGUCCUUUUUGGCGUAUCAUAUUUAUGCAAUCAAUGACAAAUUCAUUAGACCACACCAUAAUCAUUUUGGUCAUGGCCAAAAUCUUUAUAGACAAGAAUUACUUCUUGAUUUUACCCUUUGGUAGAUCAUGAUAAAACAUACUAUAGCAUCAAUGACCUUUUUAUACCAAAUUAAAAUUCUUUAUUUUCCUCAAACCUCCUAUAGAGGUGGGUUUUGGUAUUUAUCCAACCAUAUAUAUGCAUGUCUUUGUCCGUGAUUUUCAUUAUAUGUUGACACAUUUACUUUUAUUAAUGGUCGAGCAUCCACCAUAUUUAUCACCAGUCACAUUCUCUUCAAUAAUUAGAUUAUAAUCACAUGUGCUUCAUAAUUUAUUUUAUAAGUUUAUUUUCAUGCCUUGACAUUUAUCAUAUUUUAUACCCACCUCAACAUCACUUUGAAAGACCAAGUGUAUCUUCACUUUUGUUCUUUUCUCUUUUGAUGGAGGAUUUAUAAAACCUAUUAAAUUAGGUUGCACAACAACCGUGUGCCCAUUGCCUUUCAUACUAAAUUGAUGGUGAACAAAAAAAUUACCUUCAUCUUUUUGAAGAUAAUUUGGAAAACCCGUAGUUCUCUUCCUUUAUUAUUAUCAAAAUGAUGACUAUUAUAACUUUGUUACUCCAUGUCCACAUGCAUUUUUAAUCACUUGUCUUCUUUCAGACUUAUAUGCACUGCUACCAUAUUCAUAUAAAAAAAUAGAGCAAAACUAUGUGGUGGAUUACAUGACUUUCAUCAAAGUACAUUAUUUUUGUCUUAGUCAUCAAUAUUGUUACUAUGGUGAAUUAGGACAUACACCCAAUGUCUUACCCAUAUGUAUCCAUGUUAGGCCAUAACUUCGUGGGACUUAAAUCCAAUAUUUUAUCAUAUGCUUGAUACAUCAAGACUUUAAUCCAAUGUCUUAUCCUUUUGUUACGAUGGAACUUGAAUUCACCAUCUUACAAUUAACUAAUUAUAUAGUAGGCCGAGUACAAUAGACUCAUCCUUAAGCCUCUCAAAUUUAAUCUUAACAAUGCCAAUUGAUUCUUUAUUUAUAAAAUUUCUUGCAACACCUCAACAAUGUAAUUAAUGCGAUUAAAUCUAAUUCAUAUGAACCAAUUAAAAUAAUUAUUCUACACUAUAACUCUAUAUAAGUAAUAGACUUAAUGUUUACCAAACGUUGGUAUCAAGAUAAUAGUUUGUAUUUCAAAGAAAAAUAAAUAGUCACAUUCACAAAAAAUAAAUAUUAAAUAAAUAGUCACAUUCACAAAAAAUAAAUAUUAGUAAUACAUUAAGAUCCCACAACAUAUUACUCCUUGAUAUUCAAGCUAGUUCUAAUACAAAAUUCUUUUAAUAUGAGAAAUAGAAUAGUUAGUGUAUAAAGCAUGCAUACUGUUUGCAUUUGAUUAGGUAAUAUAACACCCAAAAUAUACAAAUAGUAGGCCUCUAAAAUCAAAUUCAUAACUAUGCACAUCAAUAUAGAUAAUUUUAAGAAAGCGUACCAAACAUCAAAUUAGUCACCACUUACACAAUCAAAUCGACCUCAAUUCGAAGAUGAUAUUGAGAUGAAAAUUAGAUACUUGUGCUGAUAACAUGUUAAAAUUAAUCUAAAAGAGUAGUAAUAUAAAAGAAUAAGUAGAUAUAAGAAGACAAGACAAAAGAUUAGAGCUUUUCAUUCUUUCAAAUAUCAAAUGUACAAGUCUUUCAAGUGUUUCAAUUCUUCAAGUGUAUACAAUAUGAACCCUUAUGCCUCUAUUUAUAAUGUUAUAUAGAGGCAUACAAAAGGUUGUCAUAAUCAUGGUUUUAAACAAGAAAAUUAUGGGGGAGGUUAAGGGUGUGAGAGUUACACCCAUAAUGGUGUGUGGAGUAAUGGAGGAUUAACUAUACAUUAUGGUGAAUAUGGAUGAGCGUGACUUAAUUCCUUAGAUUUAUGGAUAUCCACCAUAAAUAAAUUAUUUUAUAACAAUUUUCACCUACACUUAGUUAUUAAAACUUGAGUCACCUACACCUCAUUUUUAAACUCUUUUGUCACUUUUAACUCAAUUUCCCUGUAACUAUUUAUACAAUAUCGAUAUAUUUAACUAUUUAUAUUAUUGAUACAUUACAUAACUAUUUAUACAAUAUCUAUACAUUACAUAUACACUUCAUAACUAUUUGUACAUACAUCAUUUAUGUAAUAUACAUGAAAAAAAAUUUCACAAAAAAGUUUAAUUUUUAAAAUAACUGCAUGAAAAAAAAAAGAAAAAGGAAUUAAAAAAAUUGGCGAUUUUAAUUGUAAACUUUUUAAUUUUUUGUACAUAAAUGAAAGUCUACCUUCUAAAUGUAUAUCUCAUUUUAAUGAGAAUUUGUGUCGUGCAUAAGUCCUUUAUGGAUUUCUCUAGUCCAAUUCAGAAUUGAAUUUGAAAUUGUUAUAUUUCAGGGUAAACUGCAUAAAUUCCAACAGUUUAAAGCUUAAUUAAAGAAAAUUCCAACAAUUUACAUAAUGUACACCCAGGUUCUUAAACUCUAGGCCCUCUAGGAGAUAAACUACUGAAUUAGCUAAUUUCUAAAGUAAAGUCAAAACUGCCAUGACAACGGCUCAGGUAACAAGUCGUUAUCUCACUAACGAGUUGUUAUGUGGGACUCUUUGACAUGGUAUUAAGGUAUCUAAGGUUCAGUCCCCUGACAAUAAGUCCAGGGUAUAAUCAUUAGGUCGGGUAAUGGGCAAUUAGGUGAGACUCGUUACCUUAACAAUGAAGGAUCAGGAUUUUCAUUCCCAAGUAAUGAGUCUAGGUAAUAAUUCAUGGUCAGACCUCAUGAGUCGUUACCCAGGUCGUCAUGACUGGUACUAGUUUUCUUGUAUGUUUAAUUAGGGUCCUUUUGGUCCUUUCCCUUCCUCCAUGACUUAAAACUCCCCAAUUAACCCCAUUACUUCAUUUAAUAAUAUCAAACAUUAUUCUUCUUAUAUUUAACUCCCAAGGCAAGGAACUACUAGGGUUUACAAGGAAUUCAACCUCUAGGUUUCGAAUUUUAAAUUUUCUUCAAUUUUUGUGGUAUCUCCGGCAUGUCUAUUAUCCCCAAACUUGUAUUUUACAUUAUGACAUACAAUUAUUCAAUAUUCAUAUGAUUUAAUGGUUGGGUUUGAAAUUGGAUUGAAAGUUUUCAAUUGCUUAUUACUAGAAUUGUUUCCUAUGUUUUGUAUGUGUCGUCUAUGCUUUGAAUAAUGGUUUUGGGGACUGAAUAGGGGAUUUUUUUUAGGAUGGGGAGGGGGAACAUGGGUUUCCCCAAAUUGUUUAAUUUUGGCUUGAAAUUUCCAUUAAUAUCAAGCCACCUAAUAAAUUUGGUUUUGAACAUGGAUAUAUGCAUAAUUCAACUUGUCGUUUAAACCAUUGAGUUACAUUAAAGGAUAAAUAGAUAAAAAUGGAUUUGAAAGGCCCAUGGUGGCCAUGGUUUUGGAUUUAAAUGGAACUUGAAAGUCUAAUGGUUACAUGGAUUGAUUUUGCAUAAUUAUAUAAGCUUGCAAGCAUAAUUGGUAUGAAGAUACCCCAUUAGAAAAUGCCAAUAUAAGAGUCCUUGGUUAAUGGUUGGGUUUAUGUGCAAAUUGUUUAAUUUGGACUUAAAAGAAAUUGUGUAGCUCACCAUGAAGGUGUAAAUUCUAGAGGAAUAAACAUUGAAAACCAUGUUUUUUGGUUUUAGGGGUCUAUAUGAUCAUGUUCUUGGUGCAAUCUUGGUAUAAAUGUAUAUAUAUAUAUAUAUGUAUAUAUAUAUUGGGAUGCUUAUUUUCUUGUUGGCUUUAGCUUUUCCUUGGUUUUUCCUCAAUUUGUACAACUAACAUGCACUGUGUCCUUUCAGCAAGGGGAGCUAAAGUACCUUUAGGGUGGAGUGAGCUAUAUAGUUCAAGGUAAUAUUUUGAACUGACAUGUUAAUUGACCAUUGUUCCUAUCGCAACAUCCUAUAUAUGUAUAUAUAAAGGUUUGUGCAUGUGGUUUUGGCUGAUUUUUGGCAUUGGCAUUACUUUUAUCAUUUUUCCUGAGUUACAUGUCAGUGUUUUUGCCACUGACCAUCCCCAAACACUGCAUCAUUUAAUGAUUUAGGGUUUGAGGGCUUUUUUAUUACUCUUAUGUAACAUUAGGUAAUUCAGUACGUUCAUUAAGUUGUUGUGAAAUGGUGAGCCUCCAUCUUUUGGAAGGCCUUUCUAUUUUAUUAGGCUUUUUUUUUUCAUAUUUUUGGAAUUAUGACUAUCAUAGUUGGGGGCAUGUCCCAACUUUUGUGGUAUUCUUAGUUUAGAGGCUUUGUGGACAAGUGAGGGUUGGAUUGUUGUUUGACUUUUAACAUUUUCUUUUGACUUAUUUAUCCUUAUUUCUAUUUUAGUUACUUUCACUGUUUAUUAUCAUUAUUAUUGUGCCUUUUAGGUAAGGCUAAGGGGGUUGUCUCUAACCCAUGGUGGGUUUGAGAUACCUGUCAUGAAUAGACCCUGGUUUGGGCUGUGACAAGCUUGGUAUAAGAGCCCAGUUUAGGAUCAUUAGGUAUCUAAAAAUUUGUGUCGAGUAGAGUCUCUUUUAUGGAUAUAUAGCAUGCCACACUAAUAAGGGGGAGGUUAUAAGGCAUUUAGGAAUGCUUUCCUUUCUUAUAUUUUAUAUCGGGCUAUAGAGUCUAGUUACAUUGAAUUUUUUCUAACUCCUGGCUAACUUUCAUUUUAGAUCAUGCCUCCCUGAAGAUUUGACAGUCGUAGAAACUCUAUUUGACCCUCUAUCCUACCUGAAGGAAAAUAUAGAGGGAACUUGCCCUAUUUAUGGAGUGCAGACUUGGUCAAGGGACCCUUGUCCUUAUUGUACUACUCCACUUGUAGUUCAACUGGUUGUUACUGGCCCUCUUUAGGCUGGCGAUACUCAUGCUCUAUCUCCUCAGAAAGAUAUCUCUAAUGCAGAGUUUUGAUAGUUUAUUCAUCAGCUUGACCAACUUGUGGCAUCUAAGUGCCGUCAGUUUGAUCGCGUUGGUCCUGUUGGUAGUUCAUAUGAUUUUACUCAGGUUUGAUAGUUUAUGAGGUUAAAUCCCCCACUUUUACAGACUCUAAGGUUGAGGACGAUCCUUAGAGGUUUAUUGAUGAUAUGGAAAAGAUCUUUAGGGUGAUGCAUGCUAUUAAUUCUGAAGGUAUAGAUUUUGUUGCAUAUCAGUUGAUUGAUAUGGCUUCUCAGUGGUAUGAGGAGUGAGAAUAAAUAAGAGAUGAUAAUGUUAAGCAGACAAUAUGGGAUGAUUAUUUAGGUACUUUCCUGGAUCACUACUUUCCUCAGGAGUUAAGAGAAGCUAAGAUGAAGAGUUUGUUAACCUGAUGCAGGGUAAGAUGAGUGUAAAUGAGUAUGCCCUGAAAUUUUAGUAGUUUUUUUUUCUUGUUAUACUCUAGAGUUGGUAUCUAAUAUGAGGACCCAAAUGAGAAAGUUUUCUUCUUGUUUGUCUCAUGACUUGGUGUUGGAGUGUAAGGAUGCUUUAUUGAAUAAUGAUAUGGACAUCUCCAGGUUGGUGGUCUAUAUGUAAUAAGUAGAGGAUGAGAAAAAAAUAGGUAGAGAUAAGAGGGAGGAAGAGCAAGAGAUUUAGAUAUUUAGAGCACGGUGCAAGCUAGUAGAAUAGUGGGGGGAUUGUAGGCAGUGGACUAAGAAGAAGAAUUGGGAAAGUUCUUAUUCGAUGGCUAGUGCUCCUUAUACUAAGCCUUUAGGUGAUCAUUAUUUUUAGGCUAGCAGUGGUCCUAAGGCACAGGGUACCCAGUCCAGGGUAGUGGAGCUUAAUCAUCCUCACCUUACCCUUUAUGCUGAUUUUGUAAGCAGCUCCAUGAUGAUGCUCAACUUACUCCCAUGUUAAAGAGGUAAGGUAGUCAUUGUCAAUAUCCCAACUGGCAUUGUGGUCAAAUCAACAAGGAGUGAAAUUCAAAUUUCAAGUCCUAUGGGUGGUUUAAUUACUAAAAGGAUACCCAAAAUGCAACAAAAAUAAUAUUUAAAAUAAAAUUGGGGGGGGGAGGGGGGAAGGGGUUUGUUUGGAGUUUUUUUAUAACAAUCUUCAGUCAAACAACACAUUAGUAUAGCACUUUUGAUUUAAAAUCAUGUUUAGAGGUAAUCUUGGGAUUAUGCCUACCUAAAAGUAAAGAGCAUGUGGGUUAAUGAUGGUUUAACAUAAAUAUUAAUUGUUAAGUGAGAGAUAGGCUGGGUUGAAGGUCUUUCUUGUUAGUCUUUCAACAAAACCACAAAGAUGUCACCCAUUGGCUCUUUUGAGCACCUAAUGAGUGUGUCAUUCAUAGUCACCAAAACCUCAAUUUGACAUCCCUAUUUCUAGUAAAUUCCUAUGAUAUGACUUCCACUCCAUUUAAACUUAUGUCUAAAUUGUAAAAGGUAGUAAACCGUAUACUUACUUGUUCACCAUUUCAUCCCCCUAUAGCCCUCUUUCAAGGAUGUUAUGGGCUCCCAUAUAUUUACCUUCAUCCCUCUUUUAAGAAUGAUAGAGGGUUUCUAGAGUUUGGGAUUUUUAGCCAUCAAACCCAUUUAGAGAUUUGGAGUUUUCACCUACAAAUUCUAACUAUUUGGCUUAAGAAAUGGUGGAAUCCAUACUUAACAACUAAAAAUCAUGAAAACACAACAACACCCAUACACAAUUACAUUUUAGUUCAACAUAAUCCCAAGACUAAAUUAUUUAGCUACUUAUAAAAAAAGUAGAGAAAGAUAUACCAUAAGGACUAUCCAAAGCAUCCAUCCUUCACAAAACACUAAGAAUUUAAGUCUCCAAAAUUAGUUAAAAUCUUGCCUAGUUAGGGAUAUUGUUUCAAUAUCGAAAGAGUCUAUCAAGUAAGAAAUACCCAAAGAAGAAAGGGUUUUUGCCUAUAUAAGGUUUAGCAUUCGACCAUGAAAUAUUACAAAACUACCCUGUACAAUAUUCCCGCUUAGUCGCGAUCACAUGAGGUUGUUUGUGAAUGCAGUAUGGUUCUGCGAUCGCAUUUUAUUAACCAUCUUGACUGACUAUAUCCACAGACUUUGGCCCGCAAUCGCAGUAACUGGGAAUGAUGACUGCUCCAGGUUUUCAGCUGCACUUCUUUUCUUCCACUUGAUCUCUUUUAGCUUCAAUCUACAUCUUUUCAUCUCACCAACUCCAUGCCAGCAAAAUAUGGAUAUUAGUGCAUUAAAUUAUGAUUAUUUCUCAUUUAUUUAUACAAAACUUGGUAGUGUGCAUGGAAGUUUAGUGCAAAUAAGUGGUAAAAUCACCACUCAUCACUCCACCAUGGAUAUUGUGAGGAGAGAAGAAACCAAUGCAUUAAUUAUGGCCAGCUUAGUCAUAUGCAUUGAGAUUGUCCUUUGACCAGAGUUUCCACUAAAGCUAAUAAGGUCCAGGUUGUCACUUUUUUGGAUCCUGCGCAUAAGGGCGCUACUUCAGGUACCGGUACUGGCUAGAAUCAUCUCUAUGCUCUUUCUACUCGCCAAGAAUCUGAGGCAUCCCCUGAUGUUGUCACUGGUUACAACUCUUCUCUUAUAAUGCUUAUUUUUUUCUUUAUUUGAUUCUACCAUAUCUUAUAAGGUCCUUAAUGUGGCCGUGCACUUUGGUUUUGGUCUCAAAAAUAUUUUCGAUCCCUUUUUUAUGUCUACUCUGAUGGGUGAUUCUAUUAAUUAUAGAAAAAUCAUAGGGGUUGUGUGAUGUUUAUCUUUCAUAGGGAUGCAUUGGUAGAUUUAAUAGAACUUAACAUAGUAGAUUUCGAUGUAAUCUUGGGGAUAGAUUGACUUUAUUUAUGAUAUGCUUAUCUAGAUAGUAGGACCCAAAGGUUAGUUUUUACUUUCCAAAUGAAUCAAUAUUAGAAUGGGAGGGGAGCUCCUUAGUAUCCAAAAAGAGGUUUAUUUUCUACCCUAGAGCUCCAAAAUUAAUUUCUAAAGAGUGUCUAUAUCAUCUAUUUUGGAUUAAGGAUUAUUACUCUGAAAGACCUUCUCUUCAAUAUGUUAUUUAUGGUUAAUGAAUUUCCUGAAUUUUUUCCUGAUGGUCUUCGAAAAAUUCCUCCUGAUAGAGAGAUAGAUUUUGGCAUUUAUCUUCUAUUGGAUACCCAUCCUAAUUCUAUUCCUCCUUAUAGAAUGACUCCUAAUGAGCUAAAGGAACUUAAGGAACAGUUGAAAGAUCUUCUUGAUAAGGGUUUCAUCUAUCCUAGUAUUUCUCUGUAGGAUGCCCCUAUACUUUUUGUGCAAAAGAAAGAUGGGUCUCUUCGGAUGUGUAUAACUAUCAUCAGUUUAAUAAGGUUAUAGUGAAGAAUAAGUUUCCUCUUCCUAGGAUUGAUAACCUAUUUGACUAAUUUUAGGGUGCUAGGGGUUUUUCAAAUAUUUAUCUCCAUUUAGUCUAUCAUCAAUUUAAAAUUUAGGAGGUUGAUAUUUCCAAGAGUGCUUUUCAAACUCGGUAUGGAUAUUAAGAGUUUUUGGUUAUACCAUUUGGGGAUAGCUAAUGCUCUUGCUAGUUUUAUAAAACUUAUGAAUAGGGUGUUUAAGAAGUUUUUAAAUUUGUUUGUUAAAGUCUUCUUUGAUGAUAUUUUAGUGUACUCUAAAAGUAAGGAGGAUUAUGCCAAUCAUCUCCAAAUUGUGUUACAGACUCAUAAGGAUCGAACAUUGUAUGCAAAAUUUUCUAAGUGUGAAUUUUGGUUAAGUGUUGUGACCUUUCUCAAGCAUAUUCUUUCUAGUGAAGGGAUCAAGGUGGAUCCACAGAAAGUUACGGCAGUUAAGAAGUUGCCUCAACUCACGACUACAACCGACAUUAAGAGCUUCUUGGGCUUGGAUAGUAAUUAUAAGAGGUUUGUAAAGAGUUUCUCAUCUAUUGCUUCUUUGCUGAUGAAGCUAAAUCAGAACAAGGUUAAGUUCUUAUUGUCCAACGCUUGUGAGGGUAGUUUUUAGAAGCUUAAGGAUAAGUUGACUUCUAUGCAAAUUUUGACCCUGCCUAAAAGUAUAGAUGGAUUUGUUAUGCAUUAUGAUUUAUCCUGUAUAGGACUAGGUUGUGUUUUGAUGCAAAUUGGUCAGGUUGUAGCCUAUGCUUCCAGGUAGCUUAAGGUUUAUGAAAGAAAUUACCCGAUCACCAUCUAGUGUUAGCAACUAUGGUUUUUUCUUUGAACAUUUGGCAUAAUUCUUUAUUUAGAUCAUAAGAGCUUAUAGUAUGUAUUUAUUUAUAAGGAACUAAAUCUUAGGUAGAGACAGUGGCUCAAAUUACUUAAAUAUUAUGAAAUUAAUUUGCACUACCACCCUGGUAAAACUAAUAUUAUUACUGAUGCUCUUAGCAAGUUGUCUAUGGGGAGCUUAUCUCACGUUGAUAAGGGGAAAAAAAGAUUGGUUAAGGAUAUUCAUAGGUUGGAAAAUUUAGGAAUUCAUCUCUUAGACUCUAAGGAUAGAGGAGUGAUUAUUUAAGAGGUGGUUAAAUCAUCUCUUGGUAUGAAGAAGAAGGAGAAACAUGAUUUAGAUCCCAUACUCAUACAUAUUAAGGAUGAUGUGGGUUAGCAAAAGGUUAUGGCUUUUGAGAUUAGGGGAAAUGGCAUUCUAAGGUAUCAAGAAAGGUUAUAUGUUCCUAAUGUUGACGGGCUACAGGAAAUGAUUUUAACUGAGGCGCAUGAGUCUAGAUACACAGUUUAUUUGGGUUUGACUAAGAUAUACCAUAAAGAGAGAUGUGUCGGGCUUCUUGACUAAAUGUAUGGUUUGUUUGCAAGUCAAGAUUGAGCAUUUGAGGCCUGGUGGCAUAUCUCAAGAGAUAGAGUUGCCCUUAUGGAAAUAGGAGAUGAUCAAUAUGGAUUUUAUUAGGGUUUUCCACAAUCUGGUAACCAGUAUGAUUAUAUUUGUGUCACUAUGGAUAGAAUAACUAAGUCUACUCAUUUCUUGUAUGUGAGGACUAAUCACUCAAAAGGAUAUUGUAUUAACUGUUUAUUUAGGAGAUAGUUAAGUUGCAUAGGGUAUUGGUGUCCAUCAUUCAGAUCAAAGUACUCAGUUGAAACACCCUGGGUUUAGUCCUUUAGAUAAUUUCUUGGAUUUAUAGGUUAUGGACUUCAUACGACUAGUGGGUACCAGUCGUAUGAUGGGGUACGAUUGGUAUGCUUUUAGUCGUAUACUAACUUAUGUUGUUGGUAGGUUGGAUUAGUUUCUGGAAUUGAUACGACUUAGGUAACUAUGAGUCAUAUGGUUGGUAACAAUUCAUAUGGUUUGAUUUUUCCUUAACUUAAUCAGAGACUUAGUAACUUAACUAGGAUCUGAGCAUGAGUGGCUCAGCAUGAGUUGUAAGCUAGGGUAUGAGUCAUACCAUUGACUCAUAUGGUAUAUAGUGUUGAAACUUUCUUAGAUUCUAUUCUACCAGGGACACGAUUUAGGGGUACUGAUUUUAUGGUUUGGGUACGACUAGGUUUGGGUAAGUCAUAUAUUGGACAGUGUUGGAUCCAAUGAGGAGGCCUAGGAUACGAGUAUGGGGUACCACUCAUAUUGAAGGGUACAACUAGUAUGGAGGAGUCAUACAAUCUGACGGGAAUUUUAAGCAGUUUAAGUUGGGGGUAAUUUGGACAUUUCCCCACUUAACCUCUUAAGGCUCGACAACUUAUAUCACUAUAAGGACAUCAUUUACCUUAUUAUUCUAGUCUUAAACACUUUAAAAUACUCUCUAAUUCUCUCUAAGGCUCUUAGGUAAAUAAAAUAUAGGGUUUCAUCUAGAGGAUUAAUUUGGGGCUUGUACGGGUGAUUUCUCUCCAUAUCUUCGUAAGCUAAGGCAUGUACUCCUCACGCAUUGUUAGUUCUAACUAAAGUCAUGUUUUAUAAAAUGUUUUCAUGGAAUGAUUAUUAUAUGGUUUUGGGGUUUUCAAAUAUAUGUUGGGGUAUUUUUUAUUAAAUGUUUGGUUAUGGAUUUCCCAUGUUAUAAUUAAAAAAUUACAUGCUUUAAUGGUGGUUUGGACAUUUGGUUGCAUGGGAAUGGUUAAUUGGUAAUUGGAUUUGGUUUUGGAAAUACUAUGCUGCCAACAUGUUUGAUAAAAUGCCUAUGGGAAUGCUUUUACUAUAUUAUUGGACUUUUAUUGGAACUAUUGCAUGGUAUGGUUUGGUAAUGGAACCCUAAAUGUUAUAAAUAGUGUAAAUGGUUUGGAACGGGUAAAUGGUAAGGUUUGGUGGUCAUGGUUAUGGUUAAUUAAAUAUCCUUGUGGGGUACAAGAGAAUACCCCAAGUAAACAUGUUAAUGAACAAUUUGUGGGGUACAUGGGAUUCCCCCAAGCAAACAUAAUAAUGGAACACUUGAGGGGUACACGGGUUUCCCCAAGUUAACUUGAUAAUGUAAUCUAUGGGUACAUAGGAAUCCUUUUACCUAAAAAGGUUGGAUAAUGACAUUGCAUGCAAGCUAUAGUCGUUAUGAUGAUACCAUUACACAUAGACUUGGUUAAUAAUAAUGGAAUAAUGGUUUGGAUGGAUGGUAAUAAUUUUAAUUGGGAAUAAUGUUGGGGUAUGAUAGCUAACCGUGAAUAUGCGAGUCCAAUUGACGGACACUGGAAAAUCAUGUUUGCCAAUAUGAAGGAUGGUCAUAGCGACCAUAUAUGUACUAUAAGGUACAUGGGAAUUCUGUAAGUACACUAUACAUUUUUAUUAUGGAGAGCGAAAAGUACUUCAAAAUUUCCAACUCUUAUGGUAUCUCUGGUUAUGUGGCUACAUGCAUCAGGGCUCAUUUUGGGGUUUAAAAUGGACCCAUAUAACCCGUGGGUGGUUCUAGGACGGUGAACCUACACAUACCCAAAUUAAUGGUUUUUAAAUACAUACUAAACUCGGUUCCCUUUCCUGGCAUAGUUAUAUAUAUAUAUGUAUGGUUGUAUGCAUAUUGUUGGUUUCCUUAGUUUUAUUGGAUGUCAUUAUUUUAUCCUUAUCCUGAGUUCAUGCUAGCGUUCACCUGCAAACCUGUCUUCAGGCAGCUGUAUCCCCACGCGAUGCAGGAACUGGCCGUUCUACUCCUGCUUAGUGAUCGAAUUCGGGAUCACCUAUUGGAUUGAAGUCUGAGCUUUCAUAUUCAGGAAGGCUCCAUUUCAUAACAUGGAUGUAUUACAUACUUCGGUCAUUUUAUGGAUAUUAGUUUUGGCUAUAGUUGGGGGUAUGUCUCAACUGGAUACUGUUUUUCUUUUGGUUAGAGGCUUUGUGUGACUUCUAUGGGUUAGAAUAGGCAGUAUCGGUGUUGGUUUCAUCCUUCGUAUUGUCAUUGUUAUUGGGUCUGAUAUUGAUAGUUUGAAUUUAUGAUUGUUCCAUCCUUUUAUGUUUUGUUAUAGACAAGAACAUGGUUUUUAUAUUGGUUUGGUUAUGGUUGAUGGUUUGUAAUGGUUGGUUGGAAUUGUUUGGGUUGGUCACAAUUAUGGCCCUAUCCCAGAAUGGUAAUAAGUGAUAUCUUGUUAUACGUUGGGAAUUUAUUUGACUUAGGGUAUGUGUAUUUAGAUGUUGGGUUGGGUAAUGAGGGUAGUCCUCGGUUCUGGAUGGACUUGGGAUGCCCAUUAUGACAAGGCCCUAGUUCGGAUCGUGUCAUGUUAGUAUCAAAGCAUUAUGUUUAUGGUCAAUUUGGAGUCCAGAAAGCCAGGUUAAGUAGAAUUUCUUAUAAGGAUGUGUAGUUUGCCACACUAAUAGCACCCAUGCACACACGCAAGUGUACGUGGUCUAUCAAGUAAUAUAGUGGCCUUUAAGAAAGCCAAAUAUCGAUCCCACAGAGACUUGAUUUGGUAAUGAUUUAAUUUUAGUUCACCGUUUAGAUUAAUUUAGUACAAAAGUAACCAAAAAGAGAAUUUUGAAUUAUUUUGUAAAUUAAAAAUAAAAUAAAUAAUGCAAAAAUUAAAUUCUUGGAACAGUCAAUGGAGAAAAGCCCAGGGUUAAAGCACUCCGAACAAUCAUACUAUGUUAUUGAAUCUCAUCCGCUAAUUUGCUUAUCUUGGUUGUUGAUUCGUAUGGCUAAUUGCAUGAUCAUAGUUUCCUAACCUAUUAGCUUUUACCUAAUGUGGAUAUUACAACUACAUCAUUGAGCGGAGAUGUAAUAAUUCAAUUAAGUUAAUUAAAGCUAUCAUCCUACAUAUGAAUCAACCAAGGUAUCUAAGUACAUCCCUUUCCUAGACGCUAAGUUUAAUUUUUUAUUUUAUAAAAGAAUAAAAAUCCAAACUUUAUUUAUCUCAUGUUCUAUCUCCCUAUUUCCUCUCCUGAGAUUAAAAGGUCAAUAAUAUAUGUAUUAUGGGUGAUCAAUACAUAAAAUAAUUAAAACAAGAAUAAACAAACAACCAAAUAUAAUAAGCAAAGUUAACGAAAUUAAUCCAAAAUAAUAGUACUUAUGUUUUUGGCUUUAACCCCAGAAAGGGGGUUUUUAGCCACUAAUAUUCGUAAUCACGAUCUAAAUAAUUGAAUCCAUAAUCUGAAAAAUUAAAGACUAAAAAUAAAAUUAAAACCUUAUAAAUUGUGUAGCUGCUCCUCCGUAUUUUCUCCAAAACAGUGUCCUCGUGUGCCAUAUCCAGUGGUUCUUUAUAUUGUCUAGGUGUUGACCAAUCAUUAAUAUUGGUACCAGCUGUAUAUAUUUAUUAAUUCUUGUCCAAAAAGAUAUAUAUUAUUGUAUUUCUAUCCCAACUAAAAGUGGGAUUUGACAAUCACGUGGUCCCCUUUGAAAUCCGUGUAGACUUUGAAUUAAGAAUUGGACAAAGUCCAACUGUUGUCGGUGCAUUUUAAUAUCUAUGCAGGAAUUUUUGCAACACGACGCAUCACUCAGCAUGUUGGAACAUUGAUGCGAUGCGUUGACUUCGCGUCGUCUCAUUGAAAUUUGUGUUUAAAAAUUUGGUUAAGUGUGGAAUGUCUUAUCCUUUGCCUAUGUCUUUUGUAGUGUAUUUUCAAUGAAUUUCGAGCCUUGUUAUCAUCAAUAUAUCACCGUUUUCAUCUCACAAAGCAUCCUACAAUAUCAUACACCACAAUUCAAGAUCAAAACAACAAAAAAACAAGAGCUUGAAUAAGGCAAAUUCACAAUGAUCUUUUACUUAUUAUUCCGACUGUUUACUUAAUCAAAUUAAACUUUGCACAUUACAAACAAGUUAUUCCAUAUAAAAUUACGCCAUUAAAAUUAUUGGAAAAAAUUAAAAAUAUUAGAAUCCACCGAGAUCAACUAGACACACACCUAGCUCAAGCUAGUAAAACUAGUUUUCCGGGUUUAACUCUAAAUUACUCAAUUAAGCACAAACUUGUUUAAAAAAAUACCUUGGACAUUGUAAUCACAUACUUGGACACUUAAAUGCUUAUUUAUAUCAAUAUGAAUACGUUAAGCACUCAAAUUGCUCUCAAAAUAAGGCGAAGUAAACUAGAAUAAUGAUACCAAAGUGUAUCAAACACCUCAGAUCAUCACCCCACACUUAAACUCUUGUUCGUCCUCGAACAACUCUUCACUCUAAGCAUAAAAAUCUGAGGUGACGCUACACUUCUACUAAAUGCAAGGCACUCAAGCUAGUACUACAAUGACUACAAAGAAUGCAAGUUUCUAUACAAAGCAUGUUAUUUACACAAUUACAAGCUCAUGAACACUACUCCAAAACAUCCCAUCCUCAAGAAUUGACUCAUCUAAGUGGCGAACUCAUGCAUAUUGCUCAAUCAAAAACUUCAGACAAAUCACCCACAUUCAUCAAACAUAUGCCCUCACAAUAAGAGAGCUACCCAUAAUCACUCACAAUAAUGCGCUUUAUAACUUAAUGGGUACAAGAUCAAAUUAUGCUUACUCUCACAAAGAAUUCACCAGAUACACACAAUGAACCAUAGGCUUUCCCUUAGUGUAAUUCUCCACUAAUAGUUGAAUGUAAAGCUUAGGAUCAAUUAGGUUUUUUUUUGGGUUGUAAUGUAGGCUAAGGGAUGUAUAGGAACUAUUUGAGAAUAGUUACUAACCUCUCUAAUCUCUUUAAUACACUACAUUAAAUAAUUAUACCCAAUCUCCAACAACCAAAUUUCACUUUUUCAUCUACCCAUACCUUUUAUUUUUGCUCCAUCUCUUUUAAGCAUUUUCACAAACACUUGGUGGACGCAUAGUUUACUACCACAAGAAUCAAUUUUUCUCCUUUUUUCACAAUCAUGACAAUAUUUAUAGCAUAAAUCAUAUCACACCAAUCCACCACACAUCAAAUAUACACCAAUAAAUUUUUUUACCUUGGGGCAUCAAUUUCACCUUUUUCUUCUUCAAUUUCUCAAACUCCUUACUCAAUUAAUUUUUUUUCAAUUAAAGCACUUAGGAGAUUUUUUGGAUCAAAUCAUGGUCUAUCAAAGAAGGAAUUAGGCUAAUUAUGAAGGUACCCAAAUAAAAAUCUAAAGUCUCAAUGGGGUUAACUAGGAUAAUGCACAAGGGUAGUAAAAAGAAGGUAUAAAACAAGGCUAUCAAAAAAAAAUUCCUAAAUCAUCUCCUAAACCCACAUUCCUUAUUUUGCUUUACAUGCACACCGGGUAAGUUCUAGACAUCAUAUGCAACAAGGAAUAUACAAAAUACCUCACAUCACACAUGGCACAUGUUUGACACAUAGGAUUAUCAUAGACUCCCAACCACACAAUAGCAUGAAUUCAAAUUUAAGCCAAAAUGUACAAGAGUAAAAAACUUGAGCCUAAGAGUCUCAAAAAUAGCAAUUCACAUCAAUCAACAUGCUUUUACAAACAAACUCACUUGCAUCAUGUAAUCAAAAAUAGCACCAGUCAACAUUAUCUCAUAUAUUCCUAACCUAUUUUUUUUUUAAAUUGAGCCAAAAUUUGAUAAUUUCCUCACCUCAGACUUAAAAAUCUACUUUGUCUCCAAAGUGAAUUUGAAAGUAAAAAAAUAUAAAUACUCCCUGAGGACUCUAGACCUAGCUAGUAGCAUCUUCACAUAUAAAUGGGAUCCAUGUGACCCCACACUCAAUCUUUGUCAUGCUUCAAGCUCAAGUUUAUGGUACUCAGACUUCCUAUUAACUUGUGACUCAACCAAAAAUAAAAAAUAUGUUAAAUAAAACUAAAAAAAAAUUAAAAAGAAAGCAUACCUAAUUAACUUGUAUUGCCUCCCAAGAAGCGCCUGAUUUAGUGUCGUAACACAACCCAUGUCAACUCAACCAUAUUCCUUCACCAUUUUGCUCCCUUUUGGGAGCUAAUUUUUCUUUUGUUUCUUACCUCUUUUACCUUUUAACAUGUUGGGAAUUGGUGGUUUUAUUUGAGGCCGCUUAAUACGGUAUUUGGAAAAUAUCUUUAGUGGCUUAGGCACCCCACACUUAUCCCUUUCAAUCACAUUAAUCAUGCACAAAUCUUUAUAAAAGGGUUUUUUAAUAGGGGCUUGGUAAACAUCAAAUUCCACUUCUUCAUCAUCUACCCUCAUCUUGAGCAUGCCUUCUCUAACAUCAAUCAAAGGCCCUCUGAUCGCUAAGAAUGGGUGCCCUCAAAUAAUUGGUACCUGUUCAUCUACCAUAAAAUCAAGAAUAAGAAAUUCAACAAGAAUAACAAAUUUACAAACCUUUGUCAGGACAUCCUCAAUUAUUCCUUCUGAAUAUACCAUGGAACCGACUGCUAGCUAAAAAAUCAUGGUGGUCGAUCUAGGCUUUUCGAAGCCCAAAUUUUCAAAUAGAGAUAGGGGAAUUAAAUUUAUACUUGCCCCUUAAAUAACUCAAUGCAUGAACCUCUUUACUCCUAAUUUGAAUAGGGACGGCAAACCUCUAUUGAUCUUUCAAUUUCUUGAGGAUUUUCUAUGUCAUCAUCAUACUACACUCUUCAGUGAGUGUUAUAUCUCUCACAUCUUGCGAUUUCACCUUUUUGUCCACCAUAUCCCUCAAGUACUUUGCAGACUUAGGCAUACUCUACAAAAUAUCUAGCAAAGGUAGAUUAAUAUGCAACUCUUUCAAUGUGUGAAUGAAAUUUUUAAACAAUGCAUCCUCCUUCGCUUUUAUGUACUUUUGAGGAAAGGGAAAUGGUAACGUCUUUUUUUUUCUUUGGUUUCACAACUUUUUCAUUCAAGUACUCAGACUUUCUUGAAUUUUUAGCAACUUCUUCAUCCACCUUUUAGGUUACCACAUCAACAUCUAUCUCUUUUGUUGCCAUGAGAGGUUCUCCUUGAAGCUCUUUACCACUCUGCAAAGUGAUUACCAUGACUUGCUUGGGAUUUUUUGUAUCAACUGAAAAACUACCUUGUGGUCUAGCAUUUAACAUUUGUUGUAUCUGUCUAACCUGCAACUCUAAAUUUUUCUGCGUCACUUUUUGAUUUUGUAAUUUUGCCCUUUGAUUGUUCAGAUCCGCAAUCAAUUGUGUUUGACCAACUAAAAUUUGUUUAAAUAUCUCUUUCGAGUUGUUCGUAGACUAAUUCAAUUGGGCCUAUAGAUAUAAGGCAUUCUAUGGUUGAUUAGGUGGCUGAUAUUGCCACUUUAUGUUGUAGGCAUUACCGUAAUUUAGCCUGUGAGUAUUGCCUACAUACAUCACAGAUUAUGUAUUUAAAGCAGACAUGGCCAUUGAAUGGCCAUUAUUUCCACAUACCUCACAUCAACCUGCAGCUUGUUAGAUGGCAUUAACUAUGGUUAUAGGUGAUGAUGCUACUAACUUUAUGCUGCAGAAUGUUGUGUUAAUCAAAUUAUGCAAUGCAAAAACCUAUGAUGAUAAGGCUGUGAAUUGGUCCACCUACAAAACUCUUGAAAUUCUUUUUGUGCCACUUCUAGAAUCUGAAGGCCACUCUGAAUUUCCUUGUAUUAUGCGGUUCAGUACUGUGUACAGCUUAUCAUAAGUUUGCUCCAAUGCUUGACCACCUGCGGCUGAAUCUAGCAAAAUCUUUGUAUUGUGAUCAAGAACUUCUACAAAAGUGUGAGCAGUUAGCUCAUUCGACUGUUGGUAGUAUGGACAAUAUAGAAGAAGAGCCUUAAAGUAUUCCCAAGUAUGAUAGAGGUUUUCAUCAGGCUUCUGUUAGAAGCUUACUAUCUCACUACGCAGUCUUGCCUAUUAGAAUGAAUCUGAUGAGGAACCUUUUAGCUAACUCAUCCCAUGUUGUGAGUGAAUUGGCUGGCUCUGUACUCAACCACUUUUUAGCUUCCCCAAUAAGUGAAUAAGGAAACAGUGUCAGCCUUACAUAAUAUGGAGUCACCCCGGUUAAAGUGAAUGUGUCUGUAAGCUCAAUGAAGCUCUGCAAGUGGACUUGUGGAUCCUCAUUUGAAAGCCCUGCAAACAAUCCAUUGCUAAUAAGAAGCUGCACCAUAUUGUAUUUCAACUCAAAAUUCCUCCCCAGUUGCUAGUCUUUGAAUUGGGGAAGUCCAGUUCGUUGGAAGUAGGACUGCCACUUCCCUAACCUUCCUACUAGUUGUUUGUUGUUAUGCAGCCAUAGGAACAGUAUGCUCUUGGUCUUCUUGGAAUUGAAGAAUUUUGAGUAGAAGGAUCGCUUUUCUCCUAUGUUGAUGGUAAAGUUGCUCAGGUUUGGAGCUUGGUUCAACCAAGUCGUGAUCCCUUGUCAGCUUUCAACUUUGAAAAUAUAUUUCCUGUAAAAACAAAACCAAAACCAAGUGUAAAAUCUCCAAAUAAAUCUAAAAGUAAAACUAAAAUAAGCAAUUGCUAAAAUAACAAGUCCCCGACAAUGACGCCAAAAACUUCAUAGCACCCAAGCACACACGCAAGUGUACGUGGUCUACCAAAUAAUAUAGUGGACUUCAAUAAAGCCAAAUAUCGAUCCCACAGAGACUUGAUUUAGCAAUGAUUUAAUUUUAGUUCACCAUCUAGAUUAAUUUAUUGCAAAAGUAACCAAACAGAGAAUUGUGAAUUAUUUAGUAAAUUAAAAAUAAAAUAAAUAAUGCAAAAAUUAAAUUCUUGGAACAAUCAAUCUAGAAAAGCCUAGGGUUAAAGCACUCCAAACAAUCAUACUAUGUUAUUGAAUCUCAUAUGUUAAUUUGCUUAUCUUAGUUGUUGAUUCAUAGGGUUAAUUGCAUGAUCAUUAUUUGCCAACCUAUAAUCAUUUAACUAAUAUGGAUAUUACAAAUACAUCAUUGAGUGGGGAUGUAAUAAUCCAAUUAAGUUGAUUAAAGUUAUCAUCCUACGUAUGAAUCGAGUAAGGCAUCUAUGUACAUCCCUGUCCUACAUACUAAUUUAAUUAUUUAUUUUAUAAAAGAAUAAAAACUCAAACUUUAUUUAUUCCCAUGUUCUAUCUCCCUAUUACCUCUCCUGAGAUCAAAAGGUCGACAAUAUAUAUAUAUUUUAUGGCUGACCAAUCCAUAAAAUAAUUAAAACAAGAAUAAACAAAUAACCAAAUAUGAUAAGACAAAUUAAUUAAAUUAAUCAAAAAUAAUAGUACUCAUGUUCUUUGUUUUAAUCUCGAAAAAGAGAUUUUUAGCCAAUAAUAUUCGUAAUCACGAUUAAAAUAACUGAAUACAUAAUAUGAAAAAGUAAAGACUAUAAAUAAAAUUAAAACCUAAUAAUAUGUGUAACUGUUCCUCCGUAUUUUCUCCAAAAUAGUAUCCACCCCUCCUUGUGUGUCGUGUCUAGUGGCUCUUUUAUAUUGUCCAAGUGUUGACCAAUAAUUAAUAAUGGUACCAGAUGUACAUAUUUAUUAAUUCUUGUCCAAAAAGGUAUAUAUUAUUGUAUUUCUAUCGCAACUAAAAAUGUGAUUUGACAAUCACGUGGCCCCCUUUGAAAUCCGUGUAGACUUUGAAUUAAGAAUUGGACAAACUCCAACUGUUGUUAGUGCAUUUUAAUUCCUGUGCAGGAAUUUUCAUAACGUGACGUGUCGCUCAACUCGUUGGCACAUCGAUGUGAUGCAUUGGCUUUGCGUCAUCUCACUUGAAUUUGUAUUCAAAAAUUUAGUUAAGUGUGGAACAUCCUAUCCUUUGCCCAUACCUUUUCUAAUGUAUUUCCAAUGAAUUUCAAGCCUUUUUAUCAUAAAUAUAUCACCAUAUUCACCUCACAAAGACUUUUACAUUAUCAUACACCAUAAUUCCAAAUCAAAACAACACAAUAACCUCAAUGAUAAAUCAAAACAAGAGCUUGGAUAAAGCAAAUUCGCAAUGAUCUUCCACUUGUUAUUUCGACUGUUGACUUAACCAAAUUAAAUUUUGCACAUUACAAAUAAGUUAUUCCAUAUAAAAUUACACCAUUUAAAUAUUUGGAAUAAAUUAAACACAUUAGAAUCCACUGAGAUCAACUAGACACACACCUAGCUCAAGCUAGUAAAGCUAGUUUUCUGGGUUAAACUCUAAAUUACUCAAAUAAGCACAAACGUGUUUUAAAAAAUACCUUGGACAUUGUAAUAACAUGCUUGGAUACUUAAAUGCUUAUUUAUAUUAAUAUAAACACAUUAAGCACUCAAACUGCUCUUAAAACAAGACAAAAUAAGCUAGAAUAAUUAUACCAAAGUGUAUAAAAUCACUUUAGACCACACACUCAUAAGGAAGAGGAUUCAAGGCAUUUAGGAAUGUUUCACUUUCUUGGUAUUUUAUUUUAAAUCUUGAAGUAUAAGUUCUGGAAUCUUCUCUAAUCCUAGUCUGUUGGCUUUUCAUAUCAUGCCUCGAUGAUCUAAGAUGCAAAGUAACUCUUUUGUCCUAAAUGGGGACAACGUUAAAGGGAAAUGUACUACUCAGGUAAUCUAUAAUCGAUCUAGGGGUCCAGUCCCUAAUAUUUAUGGAGUUUCAUUGGUUCCUUCCAGUCCUCUUUAGGGUAAGGUAAUGAAUGCAGAAUUUUGUCAAUUGAUUUAUAUUAUUACUUAUUUGGUUGUUGUUCAGGAUAAGCAGGAUGCAUCUGGUGUUUCAUCGACUAAGGCCACAAGGGUUGGCCAAUUUAUGAAGAUGAAUUUUCCUACUUUUACUCAUGUGAAGGUGGAGGAGGAUUCUCAGGAUUUCUUGGAUAAGAUGGAGAAAAUCUUUAGGGUGAUACAGGAUGAAAAUAUGGAUGGGGUGAAUUUUGCUUCUUACCAGCUUAAGGAUGUGGCGUACUAAUGCUAGGAGGAGUAGGAUAGGGUGAGAGGUGAUGUUAAAGAGUUAACUUUAUAGGACACUUUCUCUAAUACUUUUCUAGACUGCUUGUUUCCUCUAGAGUUUAGGGAAGCAAAAAUAGAGGAAUUUGUCAAUUUGAGAUAAGGGAAGGUGUCUGUCAAGGAAUAUGCAUUGAAAUUUCAUCAGCUAUCAAGGUAUGCUCUAGAAUUGGUGUCUGAUAUGAGGGCAAGGAUGGGAAAGGUCACUUCAAGACUGUAUUAGGAUUUUAUCCUUAAAACCAAGACUGCAUUACUGAUCAAAGAUAUGGAUAUUUCUAGGUUGAUGGUUUAUAUACAAUAGGUGGAGGAGGAAAAAAAAGAAGAAGGCAGAGUUUGGGAAAAGGCAAGGUAAGAAGUUUAGGUCAUUUAAAUAUGGUGGUGCUCAAUAGAAAGGCAGUCAAGAUAGUGGUAUAUCGCUAAAAAAAAGUGGGGAAGUUCUGGUUCCUUCUCUAUAGCUAUUGCUCCUUGCCCGAAAUAGUCGAGUGAUAGGCGUCAGCACGGUGGUGAUAUUUUUUGGGUACAAGGGGCAUAAUCUUAGGCAAGUGGGGCUCAGUUGGCCUCAUUAUGCCCUUCAUAUCAGUUUUGUGUUAGGUUGUAUAGGGUUUCUGUGAUUAAAAAAGGGACAGAUGUUUCAAAUAUAGUCAGCCAGGCCAUAUGCUCAGAAAUUAUUUGGUUAGUAAGGGUGCUUCGGGAGAAAAUAAGGCUAUAAUUUCUUUAUCUUCAGCUCCUGCACUAAAGGGUGAUGUUGUUGCAUCUGUUUCUGCUUCUGGUACCAGCACAUGUCAGAAUAGGUUAUAUGCUCUUGCUACUCGAUAAGAAUCUGAGGCAUCACCUGAUGUCGUGACUGGUAUGUUACAACUUUUUUUCAUGAUGUGUAUUAUUUUCUUUAUCUAGGGUCCACUAUCUCUUAUGUGACCUUAUUUGUGGCUGUGUAUAUUGGUUUUGUUCCUAAGGUUAUUUCAGAUUCUUUUUCUAUUUCUACCUCGGUAGGUGACUCUGUGGUUGCUAAAAGGGUAUAUAGGGGGUGCGUGGUAUCUGUUGGUAGUAUACAAACUUUGGUGGAUUUGUUUGAACUUGAUAUAGUGGAUUUUAAUAUUAUUCUGGGGAUGGAUUGAUUACACUCUUGUUAAGCGUCCUUAGAUUAUCGGACCUGUAAGGUUGUGUUUAGGUUCCCUGGUGAACUGAUUAUUUAGUGGGAGGGUGGUUUCUUAUCUCCUAGGGGAGGUUUAUUUCUUAUCUUAGAGAUCGAAGAUUAAUCUCCAAAGGGUGUCUAUCAUUUGGUCUGGGUUAAAAAUUUUAACUUAGAAGGUCCUUCUUUGUAUUUGGUUCCAGUGUUAAAUGAGUUUCCUAAGGUCUUUCUGGAUGAUCUUUCUAGUGUUCCUCCAAAUAGAGAGAUAUAGUUUGGAUUGAUUUGGUUUGGUUUUAGAAACUCAUUCAAUAUUUAUUCUUUCUUAUAAAAUGGCUCCGACUGAGUUGAGAAAACUCAAGGAAUAUCUUAAAGAUAUUUGGGAUAAGGGUUUUAUCUAUCCUAGUUCAUCCCCAUGGGGUAUACCAGUAUUAUUCGUGCAUAAAAAAAUAAUUUCCUUUUGAUGUGCAUUGACUAUCAAUAGUUGAAUAAGGUGACGGUUAAGAACAAGUAUCCUUUCCCAAGGAUAUAUGACUUGUUUGAUCAAUUGUAAGGUGCCAAAUUCUUUUCUGAGAUAGAUCUUUGGUCUGGGUAUUAUGAACUAAAUAUUAGGGAGGUGGAUAUUCCUAAGAUAUUUUUUCAAAAUCAGUAUGGGCAAUUUGAAUUCCUUGUUAUGUCAUUCGAUUUGACUAAUACCCCAACAAUAUUUAUGGAUUUGAUGAACAAGGUUUGCAGGCAGUUUCUAGAUCUUUUUUUCAUUGUGUUCAUCGAUGACAUACUACUAUAUUCUAAGAUUAAUUUGGAACAUGCCAAUCACCUUCGUGUUGUGUUGCAGACCUUAAAGAAGCAACAAUUGUAUGCCAAAUUCUCUAAGUGUGAGUUUUGGUUGAACGUUGUAAAUUUUCUUUGUCAUAUUAUUUCUAGUGAGGGGAUCUACGAAAGGUAACGGUGGUUAAAAUAUGGCCUAUACCCAUGAAUCCAACUAAUAUUUGGAGCUUCUUGGGUUUGGCUGCGUAUUAUAGGCAGUUCGUGGAAAAUUUCUCGAUGAUAGCUGCCUCAUUAACUAAGUUGACUUAGAAGAAGGUAAAGUUCUCUUGGUCAGGUACAUGUGAGGAUAGUUUUGAGAAGCUUUAAGGAUAAUCUAAGUUUGGCUCUGAUUUUGACUUUGCUUGAGGGAAAUGAGGGGUUUGUGGUUAAUUCUGAAGCAUCCCGAGUGGGACUUGGUUGCAUUUUAAGGCAACAUAGGAAGGUGAUUGCCGAUGCUUCUAGGGAUUUUAAGAUGCAUGAGAGUAAUUAUCCUACUCAUGAUAUGGAGGUUUUAGCGGUGGUUUUUGCUUUAAAAAUCUGGUGAAAUUAUUUGUAUGGGGUGCACGUGGACAUCUUUUUAGAUCAUAAGAGUCUACAAUAGAUGUUCACUUAGAAAAAGCUGAAUCUUAGGCAGAGAAGAUGAUUGGAGCUUCUCAAGGACUGUGAUAUGAGCCUUCCCUACCACUCAUGUAAAGCUAAUGUAGUUGUUGAUGCUUUUAGUAGGUUUUCCAUAGGGAGUUUAGCAUAUAUGGAUAACGAGAAGAGGGAAUUAGUAAAGGAAAUUCACUGCUUGGAUAAUCUUGGAGUUCGUCUCUUGGACUCUAAUGAAGAUGGUGUGAUGGUACAUAAAUUAGUUCGGUCUCUCUUGGUGCAGAGAUUAGGAAGAAGCAAAUUCUAGAUCCCAUCUUGAUGAAAAUCAAGAGUGAUGUUGGUGGAGAAAGGGUGAUGGUGUUUGAGAUUAGUGGUGAUAGUACCUUAAGGUACCAUGUGUGGUUAUGUGUUCCCGACAUUAAUGGUUUGCGGUAAAGGAUAUCGGUUGAGGCGCAUGAAUUGCGCCAUGUUGUUCAUCCCAGUUCGAUAAAAAAUUAUCACGAUCUCAAGGAGAUGUAUUGCUGGAAUGGUAUAAAGAGGGAUGUGGUUGAUUUUGUGGCCUAGUGUAUGGUGUGCCAACAAGUUAAACUUGAGCAUAUGAGGCCUGGAGGGUUGUAUAAGGAAAUUGAGUUGCCUGAAUGGAAAUGGGAGGCAAUUAAUAUGGACGUUGUUAUCGAUCUUCCUCGAUCUCAGAAAUAAUUUGAUUCAGUUUAGGUCAUCGUGCAUAGGAUGACAAAGUUUGCUCACUUCUUCCUAGUAUGGACUAACUUUUCGACUGAGGACUAUGCAUGGUUAUAACUUCAGGAGAUUAUGAAGCUACAUGGGGUACCUAUUUUGAUUAUCUCUGAUCGUGGUAUGUAGUUUUCAUCUCACUUUUAGCGGUUUUUUAAGAAGGGGUUGGGGACUAAGGUUAGUUUGAGUAUAGCUUUCUACCCGCAGAUGGAUGGGCAAGCAGAGAGGACUAUUUAGACAUUAGAACAUUAGAUAACAUGCUUCCUACGUGUGUGAUUGAUUAUGGUGGCAAUUGGGUUUAGCAUCUACCUUUGGUAGAGUUUUCUUACAAUAAUAGCUAUCAUUCUAGGAUUGGGAUGGCCUCUUUUGAGGCAUUGUAUGUUAGGAGGUGUAGAUUUCCUAUUGGGUAGUUUGAGCUUGGUGAGGUAGGUAUGUUUGGCAUGAAUUUGAUUUAUCAGGCGAUAGAAAAGGUACAAAUGAUUUGGGAUAGUCUUAAAGCUGCCCAAAGUCACCAAAUAUCCUAUGCAGAUGUAAGGCAUAGAGACUUGGAGUUUGAGGUUGGGGAUAAGGUAUUCCUAAGGGUAUCCCUUAUGAAAGGAGUGAUGUGGUUUGGUAAGAAAGGGAAGCUUAGUCCCCAGUAGGGUGGUCCUUAUGCGAUUUUACUGAGGGUUGGUAAUAUGGCUUAUGAAUUGUAGUUGCCUUCUAGUUUGAGCUUCAAUCAUCUGGUAUUUCAUGUCUCUAUGUUGAGAAAGUUUCUUGGUGAUCCUUCUAUGGCGGUUUCUUUGGAAGGAAUGGGUAUAUCAAAUUCUCUAUCUUAUAAAGAGGUCCUAGAUGAGAUAUUAGAUCAGUAGGUUCAUCGGUUAUGGACCAAGGAUGUGACCUCGGUUAAGGUUCUAUGGAGGAACCAUAAGGUGGAAGAGGAUACAUAUAAAGCGAAAUGGCCAUGAAGUCCAAAUAUACGUAUUUGUUUUCUUCUCAAAAUAUUCAUGCGGGAGUUAUGUGUUCUCAAUCACAUCUUUGUUUUAUAACUUGGUUAAAGGUUGGAUUGAUAAUUGAUAAUGAAAAUAAAUUGUGCUUGUGUUAGACCUACCUUGUCCGUCAUUCGGUGACCAAUGAUCCUAGUGGGGAUGGCUGAAACACGCUAGGUUGGGACACUUAGAAAAUUUCUUAGAUUUCUAGGUUUUGGACAUCAUAUGAUUUGUGGGUACCAGUCGUAUGAUGGGGUACAAUUGGUAUACUGUUAGAUGUAUGCAAACCAAUGUUGGUUGGUGGGCUCGAUUGAUUUCUAGAAUGGAUACGACUUGGGUGGGUACGAGUCGUAUGAUUUGUAAUAGUUCGUAUGGUUUCGUUUUUCCUUUACUUAAUCUGAGACAUAGUAACUUAACUUGGAUUUGAGUACGAGUGGCUCACCAUGAGCCAUAAGCUAGGGUUUGAGUCAUACCAUUGACUCGUAUAGUAAAUAGUGUUCAAACUUCCUUAAAUUCUAUUCUGCCAGGGAUAUAGUUUAGGGGUACUGAUCAUAUGGUUUGGGUAUGACUUGAUUUGGGUAAGUCAUAUGUUGGACAGUGUUGGGUCCAAGAGGAAGGCCUAGGGUACGAGUGGUGGGUACCUCUCAGUUUAAAGGGUACGACUGGUAUGGGGCAGUCGUACCAUCUGAUGGGAAUUUUAAGUAGUUUAAGAUGGGGAUAAGUUGGACAUUUAACCACUAAACCUCUUAAGGCCCUAUGACUUAAAUCGUUUUUGGGGACAUCAUUUAACCUAUUAUUCUAAUCUUAAACACUUAGAAAAACUCCCUAAUUUUGUCCAAGGCUCUUGGGUAAAGGAAGGCUAUGGUUUCAUCUAGAGGAUCAUUUUGGGGCUUGUAUGGGUGAUUUCUCUCCAUCAUUUUCAUAAUCUAAGGCAUGUACUCCUCUCUCAUUUUUAGUUCCAAAUAAAGGCAUGUUUUAUGCAAUGUUUUCAUGGCAUGAUUAUUGUAUGGUUUUGGGUUUUUCAAAUAGAUGUUGGGGUUUUGGUAUUAAAUGUUUGGUUAUGGAUUUUACAUGUUUUAAUUACUAAAUUACAUGCUUUAAUGGUGGUUUCGACUAUUGGUUGCAUGGUAAUGGUUAAUUAGUAAUUGGAUUUGGUUUUGGAAACACUAUGCCCCCAACAUGUUUGAUAAAAUGCCUAUGAGAAUGAUUUUACUAUAUUAUUGAACUUUUAAUGGAAUUAUGUAAUACCCUGCACUUCUACCUAGCUUAAAAUCAUCCCAAAAAUGUUAAAGACUUGCUUUAAAAGAUGAAUCAACUUUUAUACAUGUGGAAUUUACAAGAUUUUAACUUUUUGUCAUGUGGGAAAUUGAAUAAGCUUUCCAUCGAUAUCAAAUUUGCCCGAAUAUGACACCCGAGCGAAGAGUUAGAGCUAUUUUAGUAAGACAGUGUGCCACUUGAGCCUUCAACGAGUCGCGAAGCAAGCCAAAAUGGAAAUCAUUAAAAUCCAGUGGGCCACCGAGAUUAUGGUGCAUCGUGCCAAGGCUCAAAUCCAGAGUUGUCAAUUUCUAGUGUCUCAGCGCGAUACCACCGCAUCACAGUAAGAUUCCAGGUCCCAUCUAGUAUUGCAAUACGAUUUCAUCGCGUUGCACCAUCAGCUCAAUUCCCAGUUGGUAAUUUCCCGUGGCAUGACGCGAUAGCGCCGCGUUGCGCCAAAUGCCCAAAUUGGGUUUUCAGUGACGAAAAAUAAAAACCUUCUAACGGCAAUUAGGUCUUUUUCCAUAACCCAGAUCAACCUAUAACCAUGAAAUUAUGUCCUAAAAAUCCUAUUACAUCACUUUUUCUCACUUUCUUUCAAGAAUAAAAUCCGUCUCUCUCAAGAGGCAAAAAACCUAGCUCAAUAAGUCAAGGCCAAUUCCAAGAAUCUUUCCAAGAACUUCAAGAAUUUAGACUUCCAGGUAUGCAUAGUGUUCAUUCAUGGAUCCUUUUCGUCCAUGAAGCCCAAGAAUCAAGUUUUAAAUCAUGUAUUAUGAAUAUUAUGUUAUGGGUUGAUUAUGUUUAUGUGAUUGUUGUUGUAUGGUUCCUAAGUUGGAAUCUUAAUGUGUUUUUAUGGAAUUACAUUAGUACAUGAGUUUAAAUCCAUGAAUUGAGUGGUUUAUGAGGUGUUAAUUGAUAAUUAUACCUAUGCCCUAAGUGGUGCAUGUAAGGUGUUUGAUAAAAUUUCAUGUAAUGUAGUUCAAUUGUGACUUAAGUGAUGGAUUCAUGUUUUACACUUAUGUUCAAAUGACUCCUAUGCUAUUGAUAUGCAAUGUAGAUGUUGUUGAAAUGCUCAUGUUACUAGAAUAUGGAAUUAUGACAUUGAUUAUAUGCAUUCCUUCCAUGUACAAGAUUAUGAUAACCAUGUACUUCAUGAAAUCCCCAACUUAUUAUGUUAUGAAUUGUUGAUUUUGGUCAUGUGUUCAAGAAGUGUCAAGUCUUGUCAGUUUUAUGCUAUCGAGUUCUGGGGGUACUUGUACCCGAUGAUUUAGUUGUAUGCCUAGAGAUAAUAUUAUGUUUUCACGAUAUCCUCAGUCAAGCCAUGUUCAGUAGAAUUCAGUUAGUCGUGUGACUUAGGAAAACUCAGUAAACUUAGUAAUCCUAGUAAUCUCAGAAAGCUCAGUAAUUCGGUAAGCUCUGUAGUAUUCCAUCAGUCAACAAAACUCAAUGAACUCAGUCUAGUUCAGUUUAGUUAAUCAUGUUUAGUGUCUAUUCAUAUGGGAGUAGGAUUUAGAAUUGAGUGAACCCAAAGAUGAGGAAAUACAUACUGACAGUUGAGGGUGUGAUCCUUAAAAGCAAUCCUUGCAUUUUAGAACUAUGUAGCCAAUAUAGGUUGAGACAUCAACAUUAUUAGAUAAGGGUUGAUGAGGUAGAUAAAUACUGUCAGAUGAGGGUCCCACCAUUCUCUUUUGAGGACACUAUCAGAUGAGGAUCACUCACAGUUUGUCCUUACCAGUGGCAUGGUAUUGACACCCUUCCAGCUGGGGUUACAGAUUAGACCCCAACUCAGCUAUAAUAGCUUAUUAGGGGUAUGUCAGUUAGAUGAUUACCUCUUAUAGUUUCAGUUUCAGAUUCAGUCUUCAGAAUAGAACUCAAUCCAGUUCUAUAGAAAUCAGGAUUAUUAGAUACAGUCGCUUAGCUCAGUACGGAACUCAGAUAGUUCCGUCAGAUUUCAGGACUGUCAGACAUAGUCACCCAGUUAAUCGUACAUUAAUUAUACGAAAUUCAUGUUACCAGUAUUCAAAUUUUAGGAUUGUCAGAUAUAGUCAAUCAGACUAGUUCUUCAUAAUCAGAACUGUCAGAAAUAGAUAUUUUUUAUCAGUAACACGACAUAAGUUCCUCAGUACUCAAUAGACUUAGUCAUUCAGUAUCCUAGUAUUAGUACUCAGAUAUCAGAAAAUCUACAUUAUCAAAAUUUAUGAGUCAGUGUUAUCAUCAUCUCAGUUAUAGUUACGUAUUCAUGCUUGUAUUCUCACGAUCAUGUUAUUCAGCCAGUUAGCAUUGUUCAUGCAUAUGAACCAUUUCAUUCAUCCUACCUCACUUGCAUUCCAGUAUAUUCAACGUACUAACGCAUUUGUGCUAUGGUGUUUUAUACCAUAGGUUUAUAAGUACGUGCUCCUGAGCAUCUUUAGUAGAUCAGAUGUUCAGUAGCCAAACUAGCAGUGAGUCCUCAUCAUUCGAGGAUAACAUAGUUAUUUUAUUACUUUAUUAUUCCAGUAGUUCAGAGUUAGUUUGGCACAUUUCCCAUCAACUCCACAGAUUUCAAAUAGUUUAGAGGAUUUCAGACUACAACAUGUUACAGAUAAUUUAUUUCAAUUUUGGGUAUUGUUAUACCCCAUCACAGACAUUAUUUUAUAUUCAGCAUUAGUUCAGUUUUGAACCUUAUGGCCUUAUAGGUUAUAUUUUAUGUAUUUACAGUAAUUAUUCAGUGCUCAGUUACAGAUAUCAGUCAUGGGUUAGCUUAUGAUCCUUCGGGGUCAUGACCACCGUGUAAUAUUUCGAGUACCAGAUUUGGGGCAUUACAAAUUAUUGCAUAGUAUGGGUUGGUAAUGCAACCCUAAAUAGUAUAAAUAUUUUAAAUAGUUUGGAAUGGGUAAAUGGUAAGGUUUCGUGGUCAUGGUUAUGGUUAAUUGAACAUCCUUGUGGGGUACAAGAGAAUCCCCCAAGUAAACAUAUUAAUGAACAACUUAUGGGGUACAUCAGAUUCCCCCAAGAAAACAUAAUAAUGGAACACUUAUGGGGUACUCGGGAUUCCCCCAAGUUAACUUGAUAAUGUAAUCUAUGCGUACAUGGGAACCUUUUACAUUAAAAGGUUAGCUAAGGACAUUGCUUGUAAUCUAUAAUUGGUAUGAUGAUACCUCUACUCAUAGCCUUGGUUAAUAAUAAUGGAAUAAUGGCUUGUUGGAUGGUAAUGGUUUUAAUUGGGUAAUAAUGGCAAGGUAUGAUAGCUAACCAGAAAGGUGCGAGUCUAAUGGACGGAUAUUAGAAACUCAUGUUUUCUAACAUGUUGGUUGGUUAUAGCGACUAUUUAUGAUACUAUGAGGUACCUAGGAAUCCUCUAAGUACACUAUACAUAUGUAUCAUAGAGAGCUAAGGGUACUUAGAAAUCCCCUACUCUUAUGCUAUCUUUGGUUCAUACGGCUACACACAUCGGGGCCUGUUUAUGGGGUUACAUUGGACCCAUAUAGUUUAUGGGUUGUUCUAGGAUGGUUAAGCUACACAUACUGAGGUUAAUGGUUUUUUAGUGCAUAUUAAACCUAAUUUUCUUUCCCGACAUAGUUAUAUAUAUGUAUGGUUGUAUGCAUAUGGUCAGUUUUCUUGAUUUUACUAUAUGACAUUAUUUUAUUCUUAUCCUAAGUUUAUGCUAGCGUUCACCUACAAACUCAUCUUUGGGAGGUUGUAUCCCCACACAAUGUAGGAACUGGUCAUUCUACCUGUCUGAUGCCUUUACAUAUUUUGGUCAUUAUAUGGAUAUUGGUUUUUGUUAUAGUUGGGGGUAUGUCCAAACCAGAUAUUAUUUUUCUUUUGGUUAGUGGCUUUGUGUGGCUACUAUGGGUUAGAAUGGGCGGUGUCGCUAUUAGUCGCAGCCUUAGUAUUGGCAUUGGUAUUGGGGAUGAUAUUGUUGGGUUGAAUUUAUGAUUGUUCCAUCCUUUUACGUUAUGUAUGGACAGGAACUUAGCUUUUAUAUUGAUUUGGUUAUGGUUAUGGUUAGACAUAGAUGGUUGGACUUGUUUGGGUUGGUCAUAGUUAUAGACCUAUUCUAGAGUUUGGAAUGGUAAUAAACACUAUCUUAUUAUACGUUGGGAAUUCAUCCGACUCAAGGUACGUAUAUUUUAAGGUUGGGUUGGGUAAUGAGGGUGGUCCAUAGUCUUGGAUGGACUUGGGAUGUCCAUUACGACAAGGCCCUAGUUUGUGUCGAGUCAACAAUUUCUUCUAAAUUUUGGCAUUUGUUUUAAAAAGGUUUGGGUACUCAGGUGAAUCUUAACACUACUUUCCACCCUUAAAUGGAUGGACAAGUGGAACAUACCAUUCAGACUUUAGAGGAUAUGCUAAGGGCCUCUGCAAUUGAUUUUAAAGGUAGUUAGGUUGAUCGUGUGCCUCUUAUUGAGUUAGCGUACAGUAAUAGUUAUUGUUAUAACAUUCAAAAGGCUCUUUUUAGGCUCUUUAUGGUAGGAGGUAUAGGUCUUCUAUUAGAUGGUUUGAGGUCGGUGAGAUUAGGUUGUUUGAUCUUGACUUGAUUCAUCAAUCCAUGAAGAAGGUAAAGGUGAUUAGAGAGAGGCUUAAGACUACUCAGAGUCACCAAAAGUCUUAUGUGGAUGUGAGGUAGAUGGAGUUGGAGUUUGAGGUUAGUGAUUGAGUGUUCUUUAAGGUUUCUCCUAUGAAAGGAGUCAUGAGAUUUAGGAAGAAGGAAUAGAUUAGUCCCUGAUACGUUGGUCCAUAUCAUAUUAUGAGUGGAAUUGGGAAUGUUACUUAUGAAUUAGCUUUGCCAGUGAGUUUGGCUUUAAUUCAUCCUAUUUUUUAUGUGUCUAUGUUGAAAAAGUGUGUGGUUGAUCCUUCUUUUAUAGUGCCUAUGGAGGAUUUUGGUGAUUCGAAUUUGUUGUCUUAUGAGAAGGUUCCUGUGGAGAUAUUGGAUCGGCAAGUUCGCAGGUUGAGGAUCAAGGAUAUAGCUUCGGUGAAGGUUCUUUAGAGAAACCAAAAGGUGGAAGAAGUUAGAUGAGAAGCUGAUGAAGAUAUGAGAGCCUAGUACCCAUUUUUGUUUCCCGUAUUGGAUCAAAAUGUUUGAGGUAUGAGUUUUAUUUCCCAUAUUACCAUAUUUAAAUUUUUUCUUGGAUUUUGUUUGCAUUCUUCCUGUUAUCAUGCUAAAUGCCCCUUAACUCUUCAUUCGGGAAUGAAUAAUCCUGGGGGGGAGGGGGUUAUUGUGACACCCCAGGUUCUUAUACUCUAGGCACUCAAGGAGAUAAACUACUAGAUGGGCCAAUUUCUGAAGUAAAGUCAAAAAUGCCAUGACAAAGGCUUAGGUAACGAGUUGUUAUCUUACGUAAUAAGUCAUUAUGUGGGACUCGUUUCCACGACACUGAGGUAGCCAAGGUUUGGUCCCUUGACAAAAAGUUUGGGUAUGAGUCAUUAAGUAAUGUAACAAACUAUUACGUGAGACCUGUUGCUUUAAUAGUGAAGGACCAGGAUUCUUAUUCUUAGGUAAUGAGUCUAGUUAACAACUCGUAAUCAGACAUCACGAGUCUAAGUAAUAGGCUUCUUUUCAUAUUUUGGAAAUUAUGACUGUCAUAGUUGGGGGGAUGUCCCGACUUAGUUUUGUAUUCUUGGCUUAGAGGCUUUGUGGAAAAGUGUUGGUUGGAUUGUUGGUUUGACUUUUAGCAUUUUCUUUUGACUUAUCUAUCCUUAUUUCUAUUUUGGUUGACUUUUGUUGUCUAUUGUUAUUAUUAUUGUGCUCUUGAGGUAAGGCUAAGGGGGUGGUCUCCAGCCCAUGGUGGGUUUGAGAUACCUGCAAGAUCUUGAUUCGGGUCGUGACAUAUAAUUACUAAAAAUUCUGAUUUUAUGUCUGUAAAUAUACAUGAUUGGCUCCCGAUACAUUUUUUUCAAUCUUAGAUCUAUCGAGAUACAUAAUUAGCUCCCGACACAUCCAACGAAGAUAUUUAGUUGAGAUUUUUUGUAAUUACUUUAUAAGGGUGGUGAUUUGUGUAAACAUGGUAAGUUAAAGUGUAUAUUUAUGUUAUUUUUUCUAUUUUAAUUAAGGAAUGUAAUUUAAUUUUCUAUUUCAAAUAAAAAACUUUAAUUUAUUUAAAUUAUUAGCUGUACUCUAUGUGUUAUCAAAGAAUAUGUAUUAUUUCAUUUGGACUAAUAAUUUAUUUAUUUGAUUAAUUAGAUUUUUUAAAAUUUAAUCAUCAAACAACAAAUAAUUAAUUCUUUAUCAAAGGUUAGGACACUCUAUAGGGUACGACUUCAUAAAUUUAAUUAUAAGUCAGUGUUAGAUUGAUCAAAUUGUUAUACUAAUUUAGGGUACCAUCUAGCAACAUUUCUUAAUAACCAUAUAGAUUGAAAUAUACAAUUUACUUUUAAUCUUCUCUGGAAGAAUAAUGUAGUAUUUUCUUUGUCCUCAUAGCUCCGAGUUACCCUAGGAUAUGAUGCAACUAUCAAAUCCUAAUAGGCGACUAACUAUGCGUGCAUGUCAAAUAUAACCGACCAUUGAGUAACCUACAAAAACUUUUCUUCUUUCAAUUAAUUUUCCUGACCAAGAUUUUAGUUCAGUUAUUUAUAAUUCAUGACAACAUAGCGUUUAAAAUCAUUAUAUUUUUUCCCACCAAAGCCGUGCCUUAUUAAGUCAUUUAUUGCUAAAUAAGAUAAAAAAAAAAAAAAGUAAAACUUCUUGUAUAACUAGCUUAUACCCUUCUUAACUAACUUCUUAGUCUAAGUUUUAGUAAUUAUAUUUUAUAGAUUUUAGUUAGUAAUAGGGGGAGGACGGUAGAGUGUUGGUGGAGGACGGUCACAUAAAGAAGAGAUGGCAGUCGUACUUUCAUACGCUCUUGAAUGACGAGGGGGACAGAGCUAUUGUGUUAGGGGAACUGGAGCACUCAGGGGAGUGUCGGGAUUUUAGCUAUUGUAGACGUUUUAAGGUAGACGAGGUUAGACAGGCAGUCCGCAGGAUGCGAAGGGGUAGGGCGACGGGGCCGGAUGAGAUACCGGUGGAGUUUUGGAAGUUCGUUGGAGAGGC
rnacentral:lncRNA from 1 species